rnacentral:lncRNA from 1 species
CGCCGCCGCUGCAUGCAUGUAUGGCUCGUAGGUGCUCCCUCGUUGCCACAUCGGGCCGGAAAUCAUUUCGGAACCAUUGGAGAACCAAAAGAAGGAAGCAAAACCACUGGAGUACUACUAAAUUUAGGAGUGAGGCCAUGUACAAAUUGGGGUUAGCCUCGUGUUCUUUAUCGUAUUUGCUUUGCGUGGAUUGUGGGGCAAGAAUAUGUUUUUGUGUGUGCAAUUAACACCGCAUCUCCUUUUUCUUCCUUGUUUCUUUUUAGCGAGCGCUAGUGGUGGUAAAGGCGAUCGGCCGAGCGGGAUUUGUUGGACUAAUGCGGCACGAAAUGCUUUAAAGAUGCGGCUUUUAAAUUACGGCGAUAUUCGACCGGUCCUCUCACUCCACUGAUCCGGCCCAAAGCGCCGGCAGCAAUCAUGCAUUCAACCUCGAUCCCAUAUUCCGGCCGGUCGAUUAAUUCGAUCUUCUCUUUUUAUAUUCUCAUUCGUCCAACUUUUACAAUUUCAAUCCUUAGAAAUUAGAGCUGGAAGCAGCUGAAAAUAUCACGCGCUCAGCUUGCGAAUAGGUAGAGUACGUACGUAGGGCUGUAGCGAGCCGGCUAGGAGGGGGAGGGCGAAAGCGACGUGGACUGUACAAAAAGCGGGGCUGCUUGUUGCAAGAGAGAUCCGUGCCUGUAUCGCGCGAUCGGUCGCCAUCGUCGCGGGCUGGCCCGGACGAGCGUGCGCCGCUUGCGUGCGGACGGGCCGGGUCGCUGGCUCGGCGGUGGAAUAUUUUGGGCGCGUCCGCCUCGUCGCGAGCCCUUUGGCGCGAUCGUCCGUCCGUCGCUGACAUGCAUGCAUGGGAGGGGAGGGAUGAGAGGACAGCGGAGUGGUUGCGCGCGUGUAAAUGGCGCCAUGUUUACGUACGUUUUGGCCGGGGUGGGGAGAGCGUCGUACCGCGAGGAUAAGGCGAGAUCCCGAGCCGCUGCCUCCCUCCUCCCCGAUGCUCCGUCGCCGUGUGAGUUAUUGCGGCUGAUGUGCCGUGUGUGCUCUGUGUGUGUGUGUGACGCCUUGCCUUGGUCCGUCGUGGAGGACAGGUGCGUGCGUGCGUGCGUGCAUGCAUGAGCGAAAGGGAGAGAGGACUGUGUGUGGGAUAUAGCUGGACAAGUGUGAGGUGGAUGCACGAGACGAGACGAGAGCACUGCCAUGCCAUGCCACGGACACGGACGGAGGAGAUGGGUGAUGGCUGUGGCGUACGACUAUAGGACAACUGGCUUUCAUUUUUAGAGGGAUAGAGAGAGGGAAAGAGGACUGGUGGUACAACUCUACUAGUAUUUCAUUUUGAUGAUGGAGUACGUCUGGUCAGGACUACGGACAAAGACUAAGCUUGUUGACCGUCAUCCGUGUUAGCGGGGAUUGGAUCCUUGUUUUCGGGUUUUCUUAACCUAUUCGCCCAUGCGUUAUCGACGUGUUCCCUCCUCGAGGAGCCUUCUACUAGAUCGUGUCGUGCGUAUACUGUUCCUAUACAGUAUGGUAGUAUAAAAGACAUCUCCAACACUGAUUCUUAAACCGUUGCAUACGUUGGGACCGCGCGAUCCAAACACCGGAAGUCAUCCAAUACCGGUCUGUACCAAUCCGCUGAGCGGUCCGGACAAUAUUUUCCUCGUAAACUGAACAAAACAUAGGGGGCCUUGCAGGAGUACGGACACGAGACACGUCGGACUCCCAUGGCCCACCCAAAAGGAAGGCAGAGCCCGUCAUUUUGUAGUAUCCCGCACUGUUUCCUCGCUAAAAUCCCUCACUCUCUUCUUCCAUCCCGCCGCUUUUCACCUAAUUCCGGCCCUUUUCUCCCAGUUUCUUCUUCACUGCCGCCGCUGACGCAUGGAACCGGAUGAGGACCUGCCGGAGAUAGAGGUGGUGGACGUGCAGGAGGAUCCGAGCAUCACCCUCGCCCGGAAGAUCAACUCGAUGACGCGGCAAAAUCGCCGUGUCAAAGCGAAGGCCGCAAAGGAGGAAACACUCAUAAAGCGGAAGGCAGGUGGAGGGCGUGUUGAUGGCGUCUGUGGCGGUCGGCGUGCUGGUCGCGGGCGUGGUGGAGGUCGCAGCCAGGGUCGCGGAGCCACGAUGGUGGCGCCCAUCCUUCAGACACCACCAUGGCUAGAGCAUUACAAGGCCCCAUACUACGCCGCCAAGCAGCUCGGCACGCAAUGCACAGCAACCAUCGUCGGGCAAGUACCUUACAUCGUCGACGUAAACGCGGUGUCGCUGCUCUUCUCAGAGUCUUCUUCGCCACAACUCAUCCGGGGGAGAAGGCAUACGGCGUCGCGGACAGGAAGAUGUUCAACAUCAUCCACGACGGGGGCGGAGGAGGAGAUUAUGAGGACGGGCAUGUGGAAGACUCGAAUCCCACCCAGUCCAUUAACUACUGAAGGAAAUAUACCCUAAAGACAAUAAUAAAGUUGUUAUUUAUAUUUCCUUAUAUCAUGAUAAAUGUUUAUUAUUCAUGAUAGAAUUAUAUUAACCGGAAACUUAGCACAUGUGUGAAUACAUAGACAAACAGAGUGUCACUAGUUUGCCUCUACUCACUACUAGAAAACAAGGCUUUGGUUCGGGCCUGGCCAGCCCAUUAGUCCCAGUCUAGUCAAGAACCGGGACCCAUGAGGACAUACUGAAGGAAAUAUGCCCUAGAGGCAAUAAUAAAUUUAUUAUUUAUUUCCUUAUUUCAUGAUAAAUGUUUAUUAUUUAUGCUAGAAUUGUAUUAACCGGAAACAUAAUACAUGUGUGAAUACACAGACAAACAUACUGUCACUAGUAUGCCCCUACUUGACUAGCUCAUUGAUCAAAGAUGGUUAAGUUUCCAAACCAUAGACAUGAGUUGUUAUUUGAUCAAUGGGAUCACAUCAUUAGGUGAAUGAUGUGAUUGACUUGAACCAAUCCGUUAGCUUAGCACUUGAUCGUUUGUGUUUACUGCUAUUGCUUUCUUCACGACUUAUACAUGUUCUUAUGACUAUGAGAUUAUGAAACUCCCGAAUACCGGAAGAACACUUUAUGUGCUACUAAACGUCACAACGUAACUGGGUGAUUAUAAAUGUGCUCUACAGGUGUCUCCGAUGGUACUUGUUGAGUUGGCAUAGAUCAAGAUUAGGAUUUGUCACUCCGAUUGUCGGAGAGGUAUCUCUGGGCCCUCUCGGUAAUGCACAUCACUAUAAGCCUUGCAAGCAAUGCAACAAAUGAGUUAGUUGCGGGAUAGUGCAUUACGAAACGAGUAAAGAGACUUGCCGGUAACGAGAUUGAACUAGGUAUUGGGAUACCGACGAUCGAAUCCCGGGCAAGUAACAUACCGAUGACAAAGAGAACAACAUAUAGUGUUAUGUGGUUUGACCGAUAAAGAUCUUCAUAGAAUACGUAGGAACCAAUAUGAGCAUCCAGGUUCCGCUAUUGGUUAUUGACCGGAGACAUGUCUCGGUCAUGUCUACAUAGUUCUCGAACCCGUAGGGUCCGCACGCUUAAAGUUCUGUCAUGACCAGUUUUAUGAGUUUAUAUGUUUUGAUGUACCGAAGGUAGGUUGGAGUCUCGGAUAUGAUCACGCACAUGACGAGGAGUCUCGAAAUGAUCGAGACAUGAAGAUUGAUAUAUUGGAAGUCUACAUUUGGACAUCGGAAGAGUUCCGGGUAAAAUCGGGAUUUUACCGGAGUACCGGAGGGGUUACUGGAACCCCCCGGGGGCUAAUGGGUCUUGUUGGGCGAUAAGGGAAAGAGAGAGGGGCUGGCCUAGGGCAGGCAGCGCCCCCUUUCCUUCUCUUUCUCCCCUUCCUUUCCCCCUCCUAAUAGGAGUAGGAAAGAUGGGAAUCCUACUCCUACUAGGAGGAGGAUUCCUCCUCCUGGCGGACCAACAAGGGCCGGCUGGCCUCCCCUUGCUCCUUUAUAUACAGGGGCAGGGGGCACCUCUAGACACACAAGUUGAUCACAAAGAUCUCUCCCAGCCGUGUGCAGCGCCUCCCUCCACCAUAAUCCACCUCGGUCAUACUGUAGCGAUGCUUAGGCGUAGCCCUGUCACGGUAGCUUCAUCAACAUCGUCAUCACGCCGUCGUGCUGACGAAACUCUUCCCCAAGCUCUACUGGAUCGUGAGUUCGCAAGACGUCACCGAGCUGAACGUGUGCUGAACGCAGAGGUGCCAUAUGUUCGGUACUGAGGAUCGGUCGAUCGUGAAGAUGUACGACUACAUCAACCGCGUUGUCAUAACGCUUCCGCUUAACGGUCUACGAGGGUACGUGGACAACACUCUCCCCUCUCGUUGCUAUGCAUCACCAUGAUCCUGCGUGUGCGUAGGAAAAUUUUGAAAUUACUACGUUCCCCAACAGUGGCAUCAGAGCCUGGUUUUAUGCGUAGAUGUUAUAUGCACGAGUAGAACACAAGUGAGUUGUGGACGAUACAAGUCAUACUGCUUACAAGCAUGUCAUAUUUUGGUUCAGCGGUAUUGUUGGAUGAAGCGGUCCGGACCGACAUUACGCGUACGCUUACGCGAGACUGGUUCUACCGACGUGCUUUGCACAUAGGUGGCUGGCGGGUGUUAGUUUCUCCAACUUUAGUUGAACCAAGUGUGGCUACGGCCGGUCCUUGAGAAGGUUAAAACAACACUAACUUGACGAACUAUCGUUCUGAUUUUGAUGCGUAGAUAAGAACGGUUCUUGCUCAGCCCGUAGCAGCCACGUAAAACUUUGCAACAACAAAGUAGAGGACGUCUAACUUGUUUUUGUAGGGCAUGUUGUGAUGUGAUAUGGUCAAUACAUGAUGCUAUAUUUAUUGUAUGAGAUGAUCAUGUUUUGUAACAAAGUUAUCGGCAACUGGCAGGAGCCAUAUGGUUGUCGCUUUAUUGUAUGCAAUACAAUUGCCCUGUAAUUGCUUUACUUUAUCACUAAGCGGUAGCGAUAGUCGUAGAAGCAAUAGUUAGCGAUACGACAAUGAUGCUACGAUGGAGAUCAAGGUGUCGCACCGGUGACAAUGGUGAUCAUGACGGUGCUUUGGAGAUGGAGAUCACAAGCACAGGAUGAUGAUGGCCAUAUCAUAUCACUUAUAUUGAUUGCAUGUGAUGUUUAUCUUUUAUGCAUCUUAUUUUGCUUUGAUUGACGGUAGCAUUAUAAUAUGAUCUCUCACUAAAUUUCAAGAUAAAAGUGUUCUCCCUGAGUAUGCACCGUUGCCAAAGUUCAUCGUGCCGAGACACCACGUGAUGAUCGGGUGUGAUAAGCUCUACGUCCAUCUACAACGGGUGCAAGCCAGUUUUGCACAUGCAGAAUACUCGGGUUAAACUUGACGAGCCUAGCAUAUGCAGAUAUGACCUCGGAACACUGAGACUGAAAGGUCGAGCGUGAAUCAUAUAGUAGAUAUGAUCAACAUAAUGAUGUUCACCAUUGAAAACUACUCCAUUUCACGUGAUGAUCGGUUAUGGUUUAGUUGAUAUGGAUCACGCGAUCACUUAGAUGAUUAGAGGCAUGUAUAUCUAAGUGGGAGUUCUUAAGUAAUAUGAUUAAUUGAACUUACAUUUAUCAUGAACUUAGUACCUAAUAGUAUUUUGCUUGUCUAUGUUGAUUGUAAAUAGAUGGACCGUGCUGUUGUUCCGUUGAAUUUUAAUGCGUUCCUUGAGAAAGCAAAGUUGAAAGAUGAUGGUAGCAAUUACACGGACUGGGUCCGUAACUUGAGGAUUAUCAUCAUUGCUGCACAGAAGAAUUACGUCCUAGAAGCAGGGGCGGAGCCAGGGGGACGAGCAGGGGCCUGGCCCCCCCAACGAUCGACAAAUUUAGUAGCAGCGACGAGUAAUUGCCAACGAGAUUAGAUCAAUAUAUGUACUCGGCCCCCCUAUGCUCGAAUCCUGGCUCCGCCACUGCCUGGAAGCACCGCUGGGUGCCAGGCCUGCUGUGGAUGUUGCUGAUGACGUUAAGAACGUCUGGCAGAGUAAAGCUGAUGACUACUCGAUAGUUCAGUGUGCCAUGCUUUACGGCUUAGAACCGGGACUUCAACGACGUUUUCAACGUCAUGGAGCAUAUGAGAUGUUCCAGGAGUUGAAGUUAAUAUUUCAAGCAAAUGCCCGGAUUGAAAGAUAUGAAGUCUCCAAUAAGUUCUAUAGCUGCAAGAUGGAGGAGAAUAGUUCUGUCAGUGAGCAUAUACUCAAAAUGUCUGGGUAUCAUAAUCACUUAACUCAACUAGGAGUUAAUCUUCCUGUUGAUAGUGUCAUUGACAGAUUUCUUCAAUCACUGUCACCAAGCUACAAAAGCUUCAUGAUGAACUAUAAUAUGCAAGGGAUGAAAGACAAUUCCCGAGCUCUUCGUGAUGCUAAAGGCUGCGGAGGUAGAUAUCAAAAAGGAGCAUCAAGUGUUGAUGGUUAACAAAACCACCAGUUUCAAGUAAAAGGGUAAAGGGAAGAAGAAGGGGAACUCCAAGAAGAACAUCAAACAAGUUGCUGCUCAGGAGAAGAAACCCAAGUCUGGACCUAAGCCUGAGACUGAGUGCUUCUACUGCAAACAGACUAGUCACUGGAAGCGGAACUGCCCCAAGUAUUUGGCGGAUAAGAAGGAUGGCAAGGUGAACAGAGGGACUACGGAUUAAACAGAGAUUGGCUAAGGACGAGGUGACGAUGCGCGUGGGAAAUGGUUCCAAAGUCGAUGUGAUCGCCGUCGGCAUGCUACCUCUAUAUCUACCUUCAGGAUUAAUUUUAGACCUAAAUAAUUGUUAUUUGGUACCAACGUUAAGCAUGAACAUUAUAUUUGGAUCUUGUUUGAUACGAGACGGUUAUUCAUUUAAAUCUGAGAAUAAUGGUUGUUCUAUUUAUAUGAGUAAUAUCUUUUAUGGUCAUGCACCCUUGAGGAGUGAUCUAUUUUUGUUGAAUCUCGAUAGUAGUGAUACACAUAUUCAUAAUGUUCAAGCCAAAAGAUGCAGAGUUGAUAGUGAUAGUGCAACUUAUUUGUGGCACUGCCGUUUGGGUCAUAUUGAUAUAAAGCGCAUGAAGAAACUCCAUACUGAUGGAAUUUUGGAAUCACUUGAUUAUGAAUCACUUGGUACCUGCGAACCAUGCCUUAUGGGCAAGAUGACUAAAACGCCGUUCUCCGGAACUAUGGAGCGAGCAAUAGAUUUGUUGGAAAUCAUACAUACUGAUGUCUGUGGUCCAAUGAAUAUUGAGGCUCGCGGCGAGUAUCGUUAUUUUCUCACCUUCACAGAUGAUUUGAGCAGAUAUGGGUAUAUCUACUUGAUGAAACAUAAGUCUGAAACAUUUGAAAAGUUCAAAGAAUUUCAGAGUGAAGUGGAAAAUCAUCGUAACAAGGAAAUAAAGUUUCUACGAUCUGAUCAUGGAGGAGAAUGUUUGAGUUACGAGUUUGGUCUACAUUUGAAACAAUGCAGAAUAGUCUCGCAACUCACGCCACCCGGAACACCACAUCGUAAUGGUGUGUCCGAACGUCGUAAUCGUACUUUACAAGAUAUUGUGUGAUCUAUGAUGUCCCUUACUGAUUUACCGCUAUCGUUUUGCGGUUAUGCUUUAGAGACGGCUUCAUUCACGUUAAAUAGGGCACCAUCAAAAUCCGUUGAGACGACGCCUUAUGAACUAUGGUUUGGCAAGAAACCAAAGUUGUUGUUUCUUAAAGUUUGGGGCUGCGAUGCUUAUGUGAAAAAGCUUCAACUUGAUAAGCUCGAACCCAAAUCGGAGAAAUGUGUCUUCAUAGGAUACCCAAAGGAAACUAUUGGGUACACCUUCUAUCACAGAUCCGAAGGCAUGGAAUUUGUUGCUAAGAAUGGAUCCUUUCUAGAGAAGGAGUUUCUCUGGAAAGAAGUGAGUGGGAGGAAAGUAGAACUUGAUGAGGUAACUAUACCUGCUCCAUUAUUGGAAAGUAGUUCGUCACAAAAACCGGUUCCUGUGACACCUACACAUAUUAGUGAGGAAGCUAAUGAUGAUGAUCAUGCAACUUCAGAUCAAGUUACCACCGAGCCUCGUAGGUCAACCAGAGCAAGAUCCGCACCACAGUGGUAAGGUAAUCCUGUUCUGGAAGUCAUGUUACUUGACCAUGACGAACCUACGAACUAUGAGGAAGCGAUGAUGAGCCCAGAUUCCGCAAAAUGGCUUGAGGCCAUGAAAUCUGAGAUGGGAUCCAUGUAUGAGAACAAAGUGUGGACUUUGAUUGACUUGCCCGAUGAUCGGCAAGCCAUUGAGAAUAAAUGGAUCUUCAAGAAGAAGACUGACGCUGAUGGUAAUGUUACUGUCUAUAAAGCUCGACUUGUUGCAAAAGGUUUUCGACAAGUUCAAGGAGAUGACUACGAUGAGACCUUCUCACCUGUAGCGAUGCUUAAGUCCGUCCGAAUCAUGUUAGCAAUUGCCGCAUUUUAUGAUUAUGAAAUUUGGCAAAUGGAUGUAAAGACUGCAUUCCUGAAUGGAUUUCUGGAAGAAGAGUUGUAUAUGAUGCAACCUGAAGGUUUUAUCGAUCCAAAGGGUACUAACAAAGUGUGCAAGCUCCAGCGAUCCAUUUAUGGACUGGUGCAAGCCUCUCGGAGUUGGAAUAAACAUUUUGAUAGUGUGAUCAAAGCAUAUGGUUUUAUACAGACUUUUGGAGAAGCUUGUAUUUACAAGAAAGUGAGUGGGAGCUUUGUAGCAUUUCUAAUAUUAUAUGUGGAUGGCAUAUUGUUGAUUGGAAAUGAUAUAGAAUUUCUGGAUAGCAUAAAAUGAUACUUGAAUAAAAGUUUUUCAAUGAAAGACCUCGGUGAAGCUGCUUAUAUAUUGGGCAUCAAGAUCUAUAGAGAUAGAUCAAGACGCUUAAUUGGACUUUCACAAAGCACAUACCUUGAUAAUGUUUUGAAGAAUUUCAAAAUGGAUCAAGCUAAGAAAGGGUUCUUGCCUGUGUUACAAGGUGUGAAGUUGAGUAAGACUCAAUGCCCGACCACUGCAGAAGAUAAAGAGAAAAUGAAAAGUUUUCCCUAUGCUUCAGCCAUAGGCUCUAUCAUGUAUGCAAUGUUGUGUACCAGACCUGAUGUGUGCCUUGCUAUUAGCCUAGCAGGGAGGUACCAAAGUAAUCCAGGAGUGGAUCACUGGACAGCAGUCAAGAACAUCCUGAAGUACCUAAAAAGGACCAACGAUAUGUUUCUCAUUUAUGGAGGUGACAAAGAGCUCUUCAUAAAUGGUUACAUUGAUGCAAGCUUUGACACUGAUCCGGACGAUUCCAAAUUGCAAACCGGAUAUGUGUUUAUAUUAAACGGUGGAGCUGUCAGUUGGAGCAGUUCUAAACAGAGCGUCGUGGCGGGAUCUACAUGUGAAGCAGAGUACAUUGCUGCUUCGUAAGCAACAAAUAAAGGAGUCUGGAUGAAGGAGUUCAUAUCCAAUCUAGGUGUCAUACCUAGUAUCAGGUCCAAUGAAAUUCUUUUGUGACAAUACAGGUGCAAUUGCCUUGGCAAAGGAAUCCAGAUUUCACAAGAGAACCAAGCACAUCAAGAGAUGCUUCAACUCCAUCCGAGAUCAAGUCCAGGUGGGAGACAUAGAGAUUUGCAAGAUACAUACGGAUCUGAAUGUUGCAGACCGGUUGACUAAGCCUCUUCCACGAGCAAAACAUGAUCAGCACCAAGGCUCCAUGGGUGUUAAAAUCAUUACUGUGUAAUCUAGAUUAUUGGCUCUAGUGCAAGUGGGAGACUGAAGGAAAUAUGCCCUAGAGGCAAUAAUAAAGUUAUUAUAUAUUUCCUUAUUUCAUGAUAAAUGUUUAUUAUUCAUGCUAAAAUUGUAUUAACCGGAAACAUAAUACAUGUGUCAAUACAUAGACAAACAUAGUGUCACUAGUAUGCCUCUACUUGACUAGCUCAUUGAUCAAAGAUGGUUAAGUUUCCAAACCAUAGACAUGAGUUGUUAUUUGAUCAAUGGGAUCACAUCAUUAGGAGAAUGAUGUGAUUGACUUGACCCAAUCAGUUAGCUUAGCACUUGAUCGUUUGUGUUUACUGCUAUUGCUUUCUUCAUGACUUAUACAUGUUCUUAUGACUAUGAGAUUAUGCAACUCCCGAAUACCGGAAGAACACUUUGUGUGCUACCAAACGUCACAACAUAACUGGGUGAUUAUAAAUGUGCUCUACAGGUGUCUCCGAUGGUACUUGUUGAGUUGGCAUAGAUCAAGAUUAGGAUUUGUCACUCGGAUUGUCGGUGAGGUAUCUCUGGGCCCUCUCGGUAAUGCACAUCACUAUAAGCCUUGCAAGCAAUGCAACUAAUGAGUUAGUUGCGGGAUAGUGCAUUACGAAACAAGUAAAGAGACUUGACGGUAACGAGAUUGAACUAGGUAUUGGGAUACCUACGAUCGAAUCACGGGUAAGUAACAUCCCGAUGGCAAAGAGAACAACGUAUAGUGUUAUGCGGUUUGACCGAUAAAGAUCUUCAUAGAACAUAUAGGAAGCAAUAUGAGCAUCCAGGUUCCGCUAUUGGUUAUUGACCGGAGACAUGUCUCGGUCAUGUCUACAUAGUUCUCGAACCCGUAGGGUCCGCACGCUUAAAGUUCUGUCACGACCAGUUUUAUGAGUUUAUAUGUUUUGAUGUACCGAAGGUAGUUUGGAGUCUCGGAUAUGAUCACGGACAUGACGAGGAGUCUCGAAAUGAUCGAGACAUGAAGAUUGAUAUAUUGGAAGUCUACAUCUACAUUUGGACAUCGGAAGAGUUCCGGGUAAAAUCGGGAUUUUGCCGGAGUACCGGAGGGGUUACCGGAACCCCCCGGGGGCUAAUGGGUCUUGUUGGGCCAUAAGGGAAAGAGAGAGGGGCUGGCCUAGGGCAGGCAGCGCCCCCCUCCCCUCUGUCCAAAUUGGACUAGGAGAGGGGGGGGGCGCUCCCCUUUCCUUCUCUUUCUCCCCCUUCCUUUCCCCCUCCUAGUAGGAGGAGGAUUCCUCCUCCUGGCGCACCAACAAGGGCCGGCCGGCCUCCCCCUUGCUCCUUUAUAUACAGGGUAGGGGGCACCUCUAGACACACAAGUUGAUCACAAAGAUCUCUCCCAGCCGUGUGCGGUGCCCCCUCCCCCAUAAUCCACCUCGGUCAUACUGUAGCGGUGCUUAGACGAAGCCCUGUCACGGUAGCUUCAUCAACAUCGUCAUCACGCCGUCGUGUUGACGAAACUCUUCCCCGAGCUCUACUGGAUCAUGAGUUUGUGGGACGUCACUGAGUUGAACGUGUGCUGAACUCGGAGGUGUCGUACGUUCGGUACUGAGGCUCGGUCGAUCGUGAAGACGUACGACUACCUCAACCGCGUUGUCAUAAUGCUUCCGCUUAACGGUCUAUGAGGGGACGUGGACAACACUCUCCUCUCUCGUUGCUAUGCCUCACCAUGAUCCUGCGUGUGCAUAGGAAAAUUUUGAAAUUACUACGUUCCCCAACACAUACAUCCCGGUUCGUGAGCCCAGGGGGGCGGCCGGGGCCUCGUGGGCAUUGGCCCGGUUCAUCAGGACCCAUUUGUCCCGGUUCUAGGCACGAAUCGGGACCAAUGGGCCUCGCUCUUGGCUCACAUACAUUGGUCCCGAUUCGUGGCUCGAACUGGGACAGAAGGUGGAGCUUUAGUCCCGGUUCCAGGAACAAACCGGGACAAAUGAGCUGCCUAUAUAUACCCCAUCGCCACAGCAGAGCACUCCAAAGUGCUCUGUUUUUUCUGGCCGGCGAGGGGAGGGCAUUUGGGUGCUCUAGCUCACCUCCUAUUCACAUGAGGUGUUCAAUGAAAUGCCUGAGCCACACUAGUUAAGCUUUCUCCUCUUGAAGCUCGACCUCCAAACUCCAUUUUCCCUGAGAUUUGCAUAGGUUUAGCGGUCCGUCACGUCCCGUCCUCGUCUUCACCGCCGUCGAUCGCCUGCGCGGAUCUCGUCGCUGGCACCACCGUGGUGAGCCUCUUGUUCUUAUCUUCUUUCUGAAAGAAAAAAUAUUCUUACUUUAGAUAGAUACUUGUCUAAUUUUCUUACUUUUAUUAUUGCUUGUUAUUAUAUAGUGCGAUGGAUUUGGUAUCCGCCCUCGUCGGCCCUUGUCCUGGCUAUGAUUCAGAUGUGGUAUAUAUUAUCUUUUUAUAACUAUUUGGUUCAUUUAUUGUUUAUGACAAUUAUGCCGACCAAUGUGACAUAGAUUUUAUUUAUGUAGAGGUAGUUGAACCGGAAAUUCCAACCGACCCUAUUGUCGAGAGGUUAAAUUUAGUUGAAGAAUAAAACAAUUACUUGAAGGAAAAAAAUAAAAAAAAUAGAGGAGAAGAUGAUAUUGGAGUUGCAUGUUGCGGAUGUCGUCGAUGAUCAUAAGAUCAAGAUGGAUGCAAUGCGGUUGAAGAUGACAAAGAUUAGAAAAUAUGACAUUCAUACCGAGGCUUGGUAUCAUUAUGCCGUUGGAUCAAUUGUUACCUUGGUUGUGAUUAUGAUCACAUUUGUUGUUGCAUUUAAAGGUUUUACAUAGUUUCAAUGUAUUGUUUAAGUAGAUGCUCUGGAGAGCUAUAUGUUGUUCAAUUUGAACUAUGCAUGUACUUUGGUUUCAAUGUGAUGACGAACUACUAUUAAUUUGGUCACUUAUCUAUCCAUGUGAACCUGUAAUGGUUUUGACACACAUAAUUAUAUAUAAUGCACGCAGAUGAACCGGCAAUGGAUGUAUGGUGACAGGCACACAUAAUUAUGUUUCUCGAAGUGGCUGAGGCAAACAAGCAGAAUGGUUGCAUGAAAAAUAACAAAUGAAGUCAGAAAGGGUUGAAAUUUGAUGAUGUGGCUUUGAAUGGUGCAUUUUGAACACAUAAAAAGUCUGGAGUUCAAAUAAGUUAAAAAAUGAAAUCCCUUUGUAACAGAUGAGUUUUCGUGUGAAACCCUGAUACUUCCAAAGAGAUUGUCCAUUUUGUACACGAAGUGCAUCUAGUUUUUACCGUAACCCUCUCUACUUUUUAGCACAUGCUAUGUGGGUGAAAUUAUGAUACCAUGCCAAUUUUCAACCUUUUCAGGGUUCACUUGAAAUGCUUUUGAAUUUCAUGGUCUUAUAGCUCAAAAAAAUCAAUUAAAAUAUUCUGUUAUGAUCAACUAAAACAAACUAUAAUAUUCUUUAAUAGCAAAAAGAAAAUCGACUAAAAACUUUUAUAAAACUCUAAUAGCAAAAGGAAUCAACUAAAAAGCUUUUAUAAACCUCUAGUAUUUUCUGUUCAAAACAUGAAAAGCAGAAAGAAACNNNNNNNNNNNNNNNNNNNNNNNNNNNNNNNNNNNNNNNNNNNNNNNNNNNNNNNNNNNNNNNNNNNNNNNNNNNNNNNNNNNNNNNNNNNNNNNNNNNNNNNNNNNNNNNNNNNNNNNNNNNNNNNNNNNNNNNNNNNNNNNNNNNNNNNNNNNNNNNNNNNNNNNNNNNNNNNNNNNNNNNNNNNNNNNNNNNNNNNNNNNNNNNNNNNNNNNNNNNNNNNNNNNNNNNNNNNNNNNNNNNNNNNNNNNNNNNNNNNNNNNNNNNNNNNNNNNNNNNNNNNNNNNNNNNNNNNNNNNNNNNNNNNNNNNNNNNNNNNNNNNNNNNNNNNNNNNNNNNNNNNNNNNNNNNNNNNNNNNNNNNNNNNNNNNNNNNNNNNNNNNNNNNNNNNNNAUUGUAAGUAGAAACAAAAUAAAAUAAAUAAAUCAACAAAGAAAAUAGAAAACUCUUUAAUAAAUAAACUUUAAUAAAAUAAAUAAAAAUAGCAACAGUAAGUAUUUUGUUGUAAGUAGAAACAAAAUAAAAUAAAUAAAGCAAGAAAGAAAAUAAAAAAAGUGCCACCUACUAGGCCACCACGGCCUAAAUACGACUAGAAACCCAACCAUGGGCCAUGAUUCAGGCCUGCGGGAGGCCCAGUAGGCCCAUAGACACAUAGUUACAGAUUAGGCCUGAAAGCCUGCAGUUGAGAGGAGCUCGAGAGGGUGGGCGCAACAGCGCUUAUAAACCACUCUUGAGCCCUCUCAACUAGCGAGGUGGGACUAAACUUUUGGCCGCGACGCGGGCCGUAAGAGGCCUUUGGUCCCGGUUGGUGCUGAGGGAGUCCUGGAUUAGGGGGUCCUCGGACAGCCGAACUAUAUACUUUGGCCGGACUGUUGGACUAUGAAGACACAAGAUUGAAGACUUCAUCCCAUGUCCGGGUGGGACUCUCCUUUGCGUGGAUGGCAAGCUUGGCAAUUCGGAUAUGUAGAUCUCCUCCCUUGUAACCGACUCUGUGUAACCCUAGCCCCCUCCGAUGUCUAUAUAAACUAGAGGGUUUAGUCCAUAGGACAAGAACAACAAUCAUAAUCAUAGGCUAGCUUCUGGGGUUUAGCCUCUACGAUCUCGUGGUAGAUCAACUCUUGUAAUACUCAUAUCAUCAAGAUCAAUCAAGCAGGAAGUAGGGUAUUACCUCCAUCGAGAGGGCCCGAACCUGGGUAAACAUUGUGUCCCCUACCUCCUGUUACCAUCCGCCUUAGACACACAGUUCGGGACCCCCUACCCGAGAUCCGCCGGUUUUGACACUGACAUUGGUGCUUUCAUUGAGAGUUCCACUGUGUCGUCACCAUAAGGUUUGAUGGCUCCUUCGAUCAUCGACAAUGAUGCGAUCCAGGGUGAGGUUUUUCUCCCCGGAUAGAUCUUCGUAUUCGGUAGCUUCGUACUGCGGGCCAACUCACUUGGCCAUCUGGAGCAGAUCGAGAGCUACGCCCCUGGCCAUCAGGUCAGGUUUGGAAGCUUGAACUAUAUUACCAACAUCCGCGGAGACUUGAUCUUCGACGGAUUCGAGACCAUGUCAGGUGCACCGCGCAGUCACGACGAGCAUGACUUAGCUCUGCCGCCGGACGGUGUCCGGGAGAUCACACCUGUGGCAACUCCAGCCCUCAAUUCGGAGCAGAUCGUGUCGUCCGAGGACGGGUGGAUGGACCCCGCCACGGAGGCCGCACACCCAGCGGAGAUAGAGCCGAAUAAUGACUUCACCUCCUAUGAGACAUGUGUUGCCGGACCCUUGGAUUCGUCCCCGACCACAGGCUUCGAACCGCGUGCGUCCGUGCCUACCGAAUCUGAUUGGGAACCUAUCAUGGAGUUUACCUCCGCGGAUAUCUUUCAGCACUCGCCCUUGGGCAACAUGCUAAAUUCAUUGAUGUCUCUCUCCUUGUCAGGAGACCCUUGGCCGAACAAUGUCCGGCUUGAGUGGGAAGUGGACGACGAAGAAAUUCAUUCCACACCCACCACCCACUUAAUAGCCACUAUCGACGACUUAACCGACAUGCUUGAUUUCGGCUCCGAAGACAUCGACGGUAUGGACGACGAUGCAGGAGAAGAACAAGAACCACCGCCCACAAGGCGCUGGACAACCACCUCAUCAUAUCAUAUAUACAUGGUGGACACUCCCAAAGAAAGCGAUGGCAAUAAGGCUACAGAGGAUAAUCCCCUCGAGAAGCAAUCUAAGCACCGGCGUCAUCGGCGCCGCUCUAAGCCCAGCCAUAGCAAAAGCAGCGAUACCGGCACAAGAGACAACAAUGCUGCGGACAGUGCCAAAGAUGAAGACAAUCCCCUCCAGCCAGGCUUCGAGCGGGAGGAUGGGCAAGCUAGCCCUAAGGAACAGGCGGCAGAUGGAGAAUCAGAGGAUGACAAUUGCAUGCACCUCUCCGAUGACGAGGUGAGCCUCGGCGACGAAGAAUUUAUCAUGCCUGAGGAUCCCGUCGAACAGGAGCGCUUCAAGCGCCGGCUCAUAGACACAACAAAAAGCCUGAAGAAAAAGAAAUAGCAGCUUCAAGCUGAUCAAGAUCUGCUAGCGGAUAGAUGGACAGAGGUGCUGGCAGCCGAGGAAUACGAACUCGAGCGCCCAACCAAAAGUUACCCAAAGCGCAGGUUGCUACCCCAACUCGAGGAGGAAGCAUUAAAGCAUACACUACCAGCAUAUGAUGCGGCUGACCGACCACCUCAUGGCCGAUACAAAGCGACGUAUCAGCCCGAAGUCCACCCCUCACCCCGUCGCCAGUCAAACAGAAACACCAAGGCCCGGGGCAACACGCAGGACCUGCGAGACGUAUUGGAAAACAAAGCAGGACAUACAAGAUAGAUCUACGGAUCACGGGGGCGCGCCCCAACGCAUGACGACAACCGUCACGCCGGAUAUACUAAAAGCAAAUCCGGCCGGGCCGAAUAUAGCAGACAAGACUCGUAUGAACUACUCGUGAUAUAGCUUGGCACAGAGGCGCCGCACACCCCCUAUGCUUCACUAAUGAAGUAAUGGAUCACGAAUUCCCAGACAGUUUUAAACCCGUGAAUACUGAAUCAGAUGAUGGCACAACAGACCCCGCGGUAUGGAUCGAAGAUUUCCUCCUUCACAUCCACAUGGCCCGAGGUGACGAUCUACAUGCCAUCAAGUACCUCCCAUUAAAACUCAAAGGACCUGCUCGGCAUUGGCUCAACAGCCUGCCGGCAAACUCCAUUGGCAGUUGAGAGAAUUUGGAGGAUGCAUUCCUUGACAACUUCUAGGGAACGUAUGUGCGACCACCGGAUGCCGAUGACUUGAGUCACAUAACCCAACAGCCAGGGGAAUCGGCCAGGAAAUUCUGGACUCGGUUCCUAACUAAAAAGAACCAAAUCGUCGACUGUCCGGAUGCCGAAGCCUUACCGGCAUUUAAGCAUGAUAUCCACGACGAGUGGCUCGCCCGACGCCUCGGCCAAGAAAAGCCGAAGUCCAUGGCAGCCCUCACGACACCCAUGACCCGCUUUUGUGCGGGCGAGGAUAGCUGGCUGGCUCGCAGCAACAACACAUCAAGAAACCCUGGCAAUUCAGAUACCAAAGAUAGCAACGGCAGGCCACAUCGCAACAGACACAAACACCGUAAGAACGGCGACAACGUCGAAGACACGACAGUUAAUGCCGGAUUCAGCGGCUCUAAAUCCGGUCGGCGGAAAAAGGCGUUCAAAAGAAGCAAUCCGGGCCCGUCCAGCUUGGACCGCAUACUCGAUCGUUCGUGUCAAAUUCACGGCACCCCCGAUAAACCAGCCAACCACACCAAUAGAGAAUGCUGGGUGUUCAAACAGGCUGGCAAGCUGAAUGCUGAAAACAAGGAAAAGGGGCUGCAUAGCAACGACGAGGAGGAGCCCCGGCCGCCGAACACAGGAGGACAGAAGAAAUUUCCUCCCCAAGUGAAAACGGUAAACAUGAUAUACGCUACCCAUAUUCCCAAGCGGGAACGGAAGCAUGCACUGAGGGACGUAUAUGCGAUGGAGCCAGUCGCCCCAAAGUUCAACCCAUGGUCUGCUUGUCUGAUCACCUUCGAUCGCAAGGACCACCCCACCAGUAUCUGUCAUGGCGGCUCUGUCGCAUUGGUCCUUGACCCCAUCAUUGAUGGAUUUCACCUCACUCGAGUCCUUAUGGAUGGUGGCAGCAGCCUGAACUUGCUUUAUCGGGAUACAGUGCACAAAAUGGGUAUAGACCCCUCGAUGAUCAAACCCACCAAAACCACCUUUAAAGGUGUCAUCCUAGGUGUAGAGGCCUCUUGCACGGGCUCAAUAACACUGGAAGUAGUCUUCGGAUCUUCAGACAAGUUCCAAAGCGAGGAGUUAAUGUUCGAUAUCGUCCCCUUAGGCAGUGGCUAUCAUGCACUGCUCGUACGAACCGCAUUUGCCAAAUUCAAUGCGGUACCUCAUUAUGCAUACCUCAAGCUCAAAAUGCCAGGAGCUCGCGGGGUUAUAACAGUUAAUGGAAAUACAGAACGCUCGCUCCGCACGGAGGAGCACACUGCAGCCCUCGCAACAGAAGCGCAAAGUAGCCUUAUGAGGCAAACGCCAAUUCGUUGAAAAAGACCCCGGACACCUACAAGAGGAUCGCCAGGCACGUUUAGAGCUCGCCUAGCAAUUCGGCCUCUGUCCUAGCCCCAGUCAAGCGGCGAAAUUUGCGCCGCGUGUACAUAAUUACGCACUCAAGAUACCAUGGGCAUAGGCGGAGGCACAGCCAUGGCACGGCCCACAAUGCGGCUCAACCGCUUCAGGACCCGUAUACCUUUAACAUUUUCUUCCUUUCAGGCCCCUAUUCUCUGAAGGCCCUCUCCGAUCAUCUGAUUAUCGGACCCGUCACGGGAAGGAAACAUCAAGGACACAAGAAGCUUUGACGUACAAGGGAAUCAUUAGGUGGUCUCUGAUAACGAUCGAUAUACCUAUUUUGCAUACCCACACGCAGCUUGACCCUGGAUAGGACAUGUCAAAUAGUCCUAUUUUUUACUUACUAAACUACAUGUAUGCAUAUGCUUUGACGUAUCAUUUAAAUAAUAAUGUACAGCAUCAGCUCAUUAUUGCAUUCCUUUAUCCUUUUUCCCUGUCUGCCUAUUUACGACAAACCGCACCCGUACAUUCUGAUACAACCAGUGCGCCAGGGGCUUCAGUGUACCCCAUAACAUGGCAUGAAAAGUACGAACACUUUCCACAGUGCGGCACCCCGAACUUAUAGCAUUAUAUGCAUCAGCUCCGAAUCAUGUCUUGGGUUUGCCCGGCUCCCAUGUUUUGGUGUCUUACGUUCCGCUAUAUCGGCUAAGGUAGCACUGGGAGAACUACUGCGAUUGUGUCCCGAUUUUUCCGGACGAGCACCCCAGUAGAGAAAGCCGAAAACUGACUGUCAUGAUGCGGUGAGAGUUGGUCGCUGUUCGAGAGGUUUCAAAUACUUAAAGAUUUUUCCCGCUUCAGGCGAGGAGUCGGCCUUGUCCGAUUUAGGCGUACAUAGCACCCCAAGUUCGGCCUUCCGAAUACUAGGGGCUUCGCCAAAAUUUAAAAUUGUAGACUUCUAUGGCUAAGUGAGAGUGAUAAAGCUUUAUAGUCCGAUUGCCUGGUUCGUUGUGCUGAAGACCUCCUUUGAAGGACCCAAAACUGGGAUAAAGAGUGAUCAGGUUUAUCCCGGACACCCCAGUGCUAGUUACAUGGGGGCAGAAGCCGACGACUGGCCAACUCUCAAAUUUCAUAAACGGCCGCAGAGAAGGUAAUAUUUUAAAUUAACAAGCGUCACUUAGCACACAUGAACUCAUUUCACAUUACAGGAUCACAUGAGUACAUUCAUUCAAAUAUUACAUCCUUAGCACAUUCUUCUGCCACAAGGCGAGCACCCUUCAGGACACUGUCAUAAUACUUUUAGGGGUGGCGAUGCUCCUUGCCCUCCGGCAGCCCCUCCUUCACCAACUUUUCGGCGUCCAUCUUCGCCCAGUGCACUUUCGCCCGGGCAAAAGCCCUGCACGCACCCUUAAUAUAGAUGGACCGCUUUAUGACUUCAAACCGAGGGCAGGUGUUCACAAGCCGCCUUACCAGGCCAAAAUAGUUGGCAGGUAGGGGCUCGCCAGGCCACAUCCGGACUAUGAGGCCCUUCAUGGCCAAUUCGGUCGCCUUGUGAAGCUCGGCCAGUUGCUUCAAAUGGUCGCUCAAGGGCAUCGGAUGUUCGGUCCCAGUAUACUGAGACCAGAAAAACUUCUCCAUCGAACUCCCUUCCUCGGCCCGGUAGAACUCUGCGGCAUCCGACACACUACUGGCUAGAUCUGCGAAUGCUCCUGGAGAGCUCCGAAUUCAGGUAAGUAAAAGGUAAGUUUCCUUCACAUGCUUGCUUUGCAUAAUGAAUGCCUUACCCGCCGCUAUCUUCUUGACCGUCUCAAUUUCCUGGAGGGCCUUUUGGGCUUCGGCCUUGGCAUUUUGUGCAUUCUCGAGGGCCUUCGCAAGCUCGGACCCUUGCGUCCUAGAGUCACGCUCCAAGGACUCGUACUUCUUGACAAACUCCUGGAGCUCUUGCUGAACCUCACCGACUCGGGCCUCUUGCUUCCCGCGCUCGGCGCCCUCCUUGGCCGCUUUGCCUUCGGCCUCGGACAACGCCUUUUUCAGGGUUGCCACUUCGGUCGUGGCCCCUAGCAAAGUUCAUGACGAUCUUGUGAUCUAACAACCAGUUUCCUUUUUUAUCAAUAAACAGACAAGGUAUCACUUACCUUUGUUCUCUUCGAGCUGCCUCUUGGUAAGGCCGAGCUCUUCCUUGGACCGCUCAAGGUCCCGCUUCAGUGGGGAGACCUCCGCCGUGUGAGCGGCAGCGGCCAGCAGUGAAGCCUGCUUAUUCACAUAGACAUAUUCUGAUUAGACUCCUAUGAUUAUUAUUUGAUCCUAUGUUUGGCCUUUCUUCCGAACACCAAACAGAGCAUUAGGGGCUACUGUCUAUGCUAUAACAUUUUCUCAUAAUUUGAUUACUUACCUCAAAGCCUGUUAGGAGGCUGGCACAGGCUUCAGUCAGUCCACUUUUGGCAGACUGAACCUUCUUGACCACCGCACUCAUGAUAGUGCGGUGCUCUUCGUUAAUGGAAGCACCGCAAAGCGCUUCCAGCAAAUUGUCCGAUGUCCCUGGAUGGACAGAGGCCAUCGGCACAGACCUGCUACCCCCGACAUUAAAACCCAUGGGAGUCUUGUCCCUCAUGCGCCCAGCAUCCGGAAUGUCACUUUGGGGCACUUCUGGAACUGUCUCCCCUUGGUUCAGUACCCUUUGAGACAGCACCUCGACGUCGUCCGUAGGGCGGGGGAGGAGGCGGUCGGGAGUGAAUCGUUGUUCAUAUCCGACGGGCCCAAAGACUCAUCCGAAGAGGAUACGUCGAUACGGGCUUUGGAGGGGCUGCAUGAUCAUGUUCGGCAUGAUAAGAAGUAAUAGAAUAAAACAUACCAAGAACUAUUAUAGUAUCUGGAUACUUACAACUUCGCUAGGGGCUUGUCCUUGGGUAACCACUCCUCGUCGCUAAAAGUGUCUGCCGUGGAGCAGUCCGGAAGGAGAGUCCUUCCCUUCUUGGACCCUUCGGCUUCCCCUGACGGGGCGGCCUUCCUUUUCUUGUCUCCCCCGGCUGGGGGGGGGGGAGAACUUUCCUCUUCCUCCUCCUCAUUUUCGUGGGAGGAGGGUGCCUCAGUGUUAUCGGACGAUGAGUCCGAUACGACCUUGCGCCAGAGACCUUUCCUGGUCCCCGUGGCCUUCUUGUUGGCCUUCUUCUCCGGUGCCUCAUAGGGCGCCGGAACCAGCAUCUCCGUCAAGAGAGCCGUUGCUGGAUCCUUGGGCAGUGGGGCCGGACAAUCGAUCCUCUCCGCUGUCGCGACCCAUUCCUGUUAAAUGGCAUGGAGGCUUAGAUCCCCCGCAUGAUUAUACUGGGGAAAGAAACGUCUUAUGAGAUAUAAUAAGCUUACCAAUUUGGCAGGGCGCUUUGCGCUGAGUCCGCGAUCCUCGAUAAGGGGAGGAGGUACCUCGGCGGACUUGAACAACACCCUCCAGGUGUCCUGGUGUGUCGUGUCGAAGAGCUCUCGCAGCGUCUAGUGCUUAGCCGGGUCGAACUCCCACAUAUUGAAUGCCCGUCUUUGACACGGGAGGAUCCGGUGGAAGAGCAUGACCUGGACCACGUUGACAAGCUUGAUUUUCUUGCUUAUCAUGUUUUUAACACAGUUCUGGAGUCCGGUCAGCUCCACCGAUGAACCCCAGGAUAGGCCCUUCUCUUUUCAGGAGGUGAGCCGCGUGGGGAUACCGGAUCGAAAUUCGGGGGCCGCCACCCAGUUGGUGUCACGCGUCUCGGUGAUGUAGAACCUCCCCGAUUGCCACCCCUUCACUGUCUUCACAUAGGAGCCUUCGAGCCAAGUGAUGUUGGGCAUUUUUCCCACUCAUGGCGCCUCUGCACUCCACUUGCUGGCCGACCACCACCUUCGGUUUAACGUUGAAGGUCUUCAGCCACAUGCCGAAGUGGGGCUUGAUGCGGAGGAAGGCCUCGCACAUGAUGAUAAACGCCGAGAUGUUGAGGAUAUUGGGGGCCAGAUCGUGGAAGUCCAGCCCGUAGUAGAACAUGAGCCCGUGAACAAAUGGGUGGAGGGGAAAUCCCAGCCCACGGACAAAAUGGGUAAGGAAUACAACCCUUUCGUGGGGUUCGGGGAUAGGGACGAUCUGCCCUGCACCUUGGAGCCGGUGCACAAUAUCUGCGGCUAGGUAUCCGGCUUCCCGGAGCUUUGUAAUGUUCUCCUCCGCAAGGGAGGAGACCAUCCACUUGCCUCCCGCUCCGGACAUGUUUGAAGUGGUUUUGCGGAGGAAAUGCGAACUUGGGCGCUGGAGCUAGAGUGCGCGAGAAUGGAUGGGAAGGGAAGAAGAAGGCGUGGGUGAAAAGGAGGAGUCCUUGUCCCUUUAUAAGAGCGAAAGAAACUAUGCGCCUCCCCACCUGCCUGGUAAACUCGCUUAUUCCCCAAGCGCCGUGAUUGAUGGUGCGGUUGGGUUACCCACACCCGUAUUGAUGAGAAUCCCGUGAUAAGGGGACACGAUCUCUGCUUCGACAAGAAGUGCCAAGAAAACUGCCUCGCAAUAUGUGUAGUAGCUGGUUGAGAAAAACGGUUCGAAUAAUGACCGAGCCAUAGUGUGAUGUCACAUUAUAAAAAGUUAUCAGUAGAUUAGAUUUGUGGAAUAAUAUACUCUCUACGGUGGUAUGUGGAAUUUGUUUUGCACAGCCAGACACGAUCCUUGUGUUCAAAAUCUUCUAUGGAGUAUUCGGAGAAGGAACCCGCCUUGCAAUGCCGAAGACAAUCUGCGCGACGGACUCAUCGUCAUUGAAGCCUGGUUCAGGGGCUACUGAGGGAGUCCUAGAUUAGGGGGUCCUCGGACAGCCGGACUAUAUACUUUGGCCGGACUGUUGGACUAUGAAGAUACAAGAUUGAAGACUUUUUCCCAUGUCCGGGUGGGACUCUCCUUUGCGUGGAAGGCAAGCUUGGCAAUUCGGAUAUGUAGAUCUCCUCCCUUGUAACUGACUCUGUGUAACCCUAGCCCCCUCCGGUGUCUAUAUAAACCAGAGGGUUUAGUCCGUAGGACAAGAACAACAAUCAUAAUCAUAGGCUAGCUUCUAGGGUUUAGCCUCUACGAUCUCGUGGUAGAUCAACUAUCGUAAUACUCAUAUCAUCAAGAUCAAUCAAGCAGGAAGUAGGGUAUUACCUCCAUCGAGAGGGCCCAAACCUGGGUAAACAUUGUGUCCCCUGCCUCCUGUUACCAUCCGCCUUAGACGCACAGUUCGGGACCCCCUACCUGAGAUCCGCCGGUUUUGACACCGACAGGUGCCACCAACCGGGACUAAAGGGGUGCAUUGGUACCGGUUCGUGGCACCAACUGGAAUCAAUGCCCCACCUUUAGUACCGGUUGGUGCCACCACCCGGGACCAAAGGCCUAUGCUUCCCGCCCUUUGGGCUACUGAAAAGAGACCUUUGGUCCNNNNNNNNNNNNNNNNNNNNNNNNNNNNNNNNNNNNNNNNNNNNNNNNNNNNNNNNNNNNNNNNNNNNNNNNNNNNNNNNNNNNNNNNNNNNNNNNNNNNNNNNNNNNNNNNNNNNNNNNNNNNNNNNNNNNNNNNNNNNNNNNNNNNNNNNNNNNNNNNNNNNNNNNNNNNNNNNNNNNNNNNNNNNNNNNNNNNNNNNNNNNNNNNNNNNNNNNNNNNNNNNNNNNNNNNNNNNNNNNNNNNNNNNNNNNNNNNNNNNNNNNNNNNNNNNNNNNNNNNNNNNNNNNNNNNNNNNNNNNNNNNNNNNNNNNNNNNNNNNNNNNNNNNNNNNNNNNNNNNNNNNNNNNNNNNNNNNNNNNNNNNNNNNNNNNNNNNNNNNNNNNNNNNNNNNNNNNNNNNNNNNNNNNNNNNNNNNNNNNNNNNNNNNNNNNNNNNNNNNNNNNNNNNNNNNNNNNNNNNNNNNNNNNNNNNNNNNNNNNNNNNNNNNNNNNNNNNNNNNNNNNNNNNNNNNNNNNNNNNNNNNNNNNNNNNNNNNNNNNNNNNNNNNNNNNNNNNNNNNNNNNNNNNNNNNNNNNNNNNNNNNNNNNNNNNNNNNNNNNNNNNNNNNNNNNNNNNNNNNNNNNNNNNNNNNNNNNNNNNNNNNNNNNNNNNNNNNNNNNNNNNNNNNNNNNNNNNNNNNNNNNNNNNNNNNNNNNNNNNNNNNNNNNNNNNNNNNNNNNNNNNNNNNNNNNNNNNNNNNNNNNNNNNNNNNNNNNNNNNNNNNNNNNNNNNNNNNNNNNNNNNNNNNNNNNNNNNNNNNNNNNNNNNNNNNNNNNNNNNNNNNNNNNNNNNNNNNNNNNNNNNNNNNNNNNNNNNNNNNNNNNNNNNNNNNNNCCGCCACUCCCCGCGCCCCUGCUUGCCCCGACGCCGCGCGCCCCUGCCAACCCUGACGCCGCCCGCCGUGCCGCCCUGCUCCGGCUUCGACGCGUCCCUGUGUGAGCACGGCGCCCAUGCCGGCCCCGCCGCCGCCGCCGUGCUUUUUUAGAUAUAUUUGCUAAAUUUUUACAUGUUUUUAGAUGUUUUUAUAUGUAUGUACGUAUUUUUUAGAUAUAUGUAUUUUUUGAUAUAUGUUCAUAUAUGUAUGUAUGUAUUUUUCACAUUUUUUGUAUGUAUGUAUUUUUUCAAUUUUAAUAUGCAUGAUGUUUUAAAAAGAAGAAGAGAAGAAGAAAGGAAUAGAGCAGAAGAAGAUAAAAAAUAGAAAAUAUUCUAUUUUUUCUUCUUCUCCUCUAUUCCUUUCUUCUUCUCCUCCUUUUUUCUUCUUUUUUUCUUUGAUCUUCUCCUCUAUUCCUUUCUUCUUCUCCUCUUUUUAUUUCUUCUUCGUCUUCUUAUUUUUUAUCGGGUAUAUCGUUGUCGAUAUACCCCCUCCCAAUAACUUCAACACGAGGGGGGGGGGGUUGAUAUACCCCCUCCCCGAUAACAUUAUUUUCCCAUGUAUGUAUGUCGUCGUUGUCGAUAUAACCCCCUCCUGGAUAACUUCGACAUGAGGGGCGAUCGAUAUAUAUACCCCCUCUCGACCAUGAUAACUUAUACCACGGUAGCACCCCCCGGCCCUCUCGCUCGACCAAAACACUCGAGGACACCCAAACCUAAGAAAAAACGAUGUCGGUCUCCUACCCCCUCCCGCCGUGCCCUACCCGACAAACUCUCUCGAGGCCACCCCAAACCCUUGAAGCAUUGCCGAGGCCACCCCAAACCCUUGAAGCAUUGCCGAGGCCACCCCAAACCCUAGAGAAGCGUCGAGGCCACUAAUAUGAUUCCUUAUUGUGAUUAGCUAGCUAGUUCUACGUUUGCCACUAAUAUAUCCAUCUGUCAUGUUUGAAUAAUAAUUUCCAUGUUGUAAAUAUUUGCAGAAACUAUGGAGCACCCCCGAGAUGAAGCAACAAAAGCGGUGUUGGGGGACAUAAUCGCAACCGGAAGUGAUGCCGUCUUGUCAUUUGUCAACGACACCAAUGGUCUGGAAGGACAAGGUGAAGAAGCAGGCUACGGUGAUCGAACAAUGGAUGAGGAAGGACAUGAUUAUGAUGGCUCCGGUGACCAAUGUUGGUGGAAGGACACCGUGAUGACGGCUCCAGUGACCGAAUGGAGUCCGGCCUGGUAUAUGUAUAUAUAUUAAUUAAUUAAGCAUGUGCUGACUAUAGCUAAUUGAUGCAUUAAUUGUUUUUGGUAUGUACACAUAUUAAUUAAUAACUCUCGUCUUUCUUUUUUUUCUAGCCCUCCGGAUCGAGCACAACUUCGGUAAAGAGACGAGGCCCGAAGAAAAAGUUGCGCUCGAAUGAAAGGUUUGAGAUCACAGCAAUCGCUUGUGAUGGCCAACCGAUUGAACCCAUCCGGACAAAGGAAGCAUUUGCUGCUCAGUGCGGGGUUCUUGUUAGGGACAAGAUUCCGAUCAGCAUCCACCAAUGGUAUAAGCCGGCUAAAGAAGACCCUGAGGUGUCUUUUGUCAACGAUAUGCAGAAAGAUGAUCUUUGGACCGCGCUGAAGGCAAAUUUCACCCUACCGCCAGAGGAGGAUCUGGAGAAGCCAGUUAAAGCGCAAUCGAUCAAGUCUCAUGCUCUUAAGAAGAUGGAAGAACUAUUCAGGAGGUGGAAGAAUGAGCUGAAAACAACGUUUGUCGACAAAGAAGAGACACCAGAAUUCACCGGCCGGUAUGAGAAGAUCAUAGAUCACUGGGACGAAUUUGUGGCCCACAAGACAUCGGACAAGAGUAAGAAGAUGUCAGCGACAAACAAGAUAAAUGCUGGAAAGAAAAGCUUCACCAUCGCACGGGGUCAGGUGGCUACCUCAAAGCCCGGCCGUUGUGGGCCAAGGUUGAGAAUGACCUGGUUGAUAAAGGGGUCGAACUAGAGACAUUGAACUGGCCAGACUGUUGCCGGACUUGGUUCUUCGGUGUUGGCGGAACCUUGGACCCUGUAUCAGGGAAGUGCCGUUGGACAAACGAGCAACUGCGAAUACCCGUCACGAAGCUUCGGUAGUAUAUCGAUGCAGCACGGCAAGGGAUGUUCGUUCCAAACAGAGAGAACGACGAGCUCACAAUGGCCCUCGGGAAUCCCGAGCACCCUGGACGGACAUGAGGCACGCCAGGCUCUGUUCUGUGGAAGUCUGGGUUUCCGAACGCAUGCGGUUACAAAUGCCAGGAGAGGAGGAAGAAAGUGGAGCAGACCCAACUGCCAGCGCUGCAUGCAAGGGUACAAGCGAUAGAGGAACGAGAAGCAGAUCACAGCAAGCGACCUGCCGAAGCUUCCCCCGAAGCUACCCCGCCAUCUCAGCAGAGAAGUAGUGUGGCUUCCACCGAGCUACUUCAGCUGGAGCUUGUCUUCAUGGCUCCUGCUAGCUACCCCGUGGAUGCUAUCACAGAGUCUCAACAUUGCCAACUUGUGACGCAAUGGAUGAAAUUAAAAGUCAAGGCGGUUGUUGGAUCUGUUGGCGCAACUUUUCACCGCCGGCCGAUUCCAGAAGGAUAUGCUAGGGUGAUGGUGGAUGAAAUAACUGACGGAUUUGAGGACCUCGAGCUUGACCACCCUACGGGUGAAGGGGAGACUCGGCUGGGUUCUUCUCUAAAGACUCCAUGCCUAUGGCGAAGGAGCUCAUCAACCUUCCAAACUGGACGCCUCUGCCACCUCCUCCUCCUCCGGCGAGCCAGGCACUCUGCCUCCUCCACCGCCUCCUCCUCCGGCGAGUGAUCAGGGCACUCAGCCUCCUUCUCCGGCGUGUGCCGGUAGUCCGCCUCCUUCUCCUCCUGCGCCGGCGCGCCCGAGUAGCCAGCCUCCUCCUUCUUGGCCUCACCAGCAAGGGCAGAAGAGACCCGCCACCACUCCGGCUGCUCUGGCACGUCGUAGUCCUUCUCCUCUGCCUCGUAAGCAACAAAAUAAGACAGCCACAGCCGCUCCGUCUGCUCCGGUGUCUAGCAGUACAGCCAGAGGCGGGAGGCAAUACAUAUUUGGUCCAUCUCUCAAGCCUCUAGAGAAGUUACCAUACGAGAGGACCAUGGAGGAAACCGCGAAUAUCGUGGAAACCAAAGUGAAGGACUUGUUUGAUGGGGUGAAAAAAAAGAAACAUCCACCUCCGGAGGAGAAGAUAGAUCCGGUGAAAUUAAAGCGCACUAUCGAUGCCCUGAGGAAACCACCAAAGUCUCUGCCGAAAACAAACUAUGAGCACAUUACUGAAAAGGUAUAUAUCAAAGCGGAGUGGUCGCGAAGUACUAUCAGUGACCGAAGGUUAGCAGAACAAAGAGAUGGGAAAAAAAUUGCCCACCUCGGCGAACAAGCGAACCAAUCGUGCCCCCGCUCAAGGUGUCUAGUGAUAUCGUCACUAAUGAUCAGAGGAUGGUGCCCGGUUAUAACAAUCUUGGAGAUUACCUUCUCGACGAUGUACAUUAUGAAUUCUUGUAGGUGGACGAACACAAAUACCAUUACGGAAAGCCUCUCGUCAAAGAUGAAAAAUCUCUAACAAUGAUGAUGCGAAGAUUGCAUGAUUGGAACAUGAAAACCUGCAGAGAGUCUGGGGGGGUGAAUACUUUGACGUUGAGAGUUAAAGAGGAGCAUGACCUCGUUGGAAUUGAUCUGUUGUCUAUUCCAUUUGAGGAGUUCUUCCAGUUUUUCAAUCAAAAUGCCCUCGAUAAAUUAACGGUCACUUGCGACUGUCUGUGAGUACUACUUCUGCAUUAAAACUCUAUAUAUAGCUCAGCUCUUUCAUUGCAUGUAUUUAUAAUUAUCCUCACUAUAUUAUGCAAAUUGAAGAUCGUCGAGUGCAGAAAAACAGAAAUAUAUGAUAUUGGGUUCAUUAACACAAAUCUCAUAGAUGAAUAUAUUGUUAAAAAGAAUGCCAAAUAAGCCGAGGUCAACUUGCUCAAAUCGUUGGUAAUAAAUCAGAACAAAGAUAAAAUACUCUUUCCUUACAACUUCAAGUGAGUGUUACUGUCUUGUGCGUAUUCGGUUUCCCUUAUUACUCGAGGUUAUAGUAAUGUAAUUAAUUGAUGACUUAUGCAUGCGUGUGCAGCUUCCACUAUAUUCUACUGGAGAUUAAGCUUUAGCAGGGACUAGUAAUCGUCUUAGACUGGAGAUGAAAAGAUCUCGAGACCUAUGCGGACAUGAAUAAAAUUCUCAACAAGUAAGUUCAAUCGAUCAUUAUCGCACCAUAUCGGCAACUUCUUGUUCAUUUCCUGAUAUCUCAAGUAAUAAUUAUUAUCUUUGUCUUGCAGGGUUUGGAAAAAGAUCACCGCAGAAGCUCCGGGACUGCUGAGGGAGCUUCGAUAUACAUACCCGAAAGUAAGUACUACUAGCUAGCUACUUCCGUGCAUCUCUCGUUGAUUCUAGCAACUUUCAUCAAUGCCAUUUAUAAUGCUACAUUAUCAGUUUGAUUGACCUCUAUUUCUCGUAAAGUGCAUGUGGCAGGAACAAGGGAAUGAUUACUGUGGAUACUACGUGUGCGAGUUCAUCUACAACGCGACUUGCAAAAAUAAGCGGGGCUACUCUCAAUGACAAUUUGAUGUGCAUAAGCAAUAAUAUUCACAAUUUCAUUUUAUUACACCAUCAUUUCCGUUGAGUUUCAUUCAUAUAUAUAUGUAUUAACCCCCUUCUUCAAAUUAGACGUGGCAGAUGCGGAAUGAACUCAUACCAGAAGAUCGCAUGAAAGCAAUUCAAGAGGAAUUGGCGGGAUUCUUUUUUGACCACGUCAUCAAUAAAGCCGAAGAAUACCAUGUUGAAGCCGAGUUCUUAUAUAAUUAGGGGAGAUUAUAUUGUAAGAGAUCUUAAUAUUGUAUAUAUGUAGCCAGUAGCAUUGGAUAGAUAUACGAAAACUUGUUGUUCCCGCAAUCUCUCAGAGAAGGAGAGGCCGAUAUCACUUCUCUCGCUAUGCAUGACAAACUUCUGUACUUAAUGGUUUCCUUCAUUUGCUUACUAGCUAGCGUGUCGAGGGCCUCUCUAUACGUAUAGUACGUAGCGUCGACCAAGCACGGAGAUAAGAGAGGACACUUCUCUAUAUUAAUUAAUUAGCUACCUAACACAAUAUAUGAAACACCUUAAUUAACCAUACAAAACCCCCAAGACCCCCCCCUUCAGGAAAAAAACAAAAAACCCUAGCCCCUGAAAAGAUGACGCGUGAAUGCCUUUUGGUCCCGGUUGGUGCCACCAACCGGGACCAAAGGCCCUCAUGCCUGGGCUCGCCGCAACGGCCACGUGGAGGCCCAUUUGUCCCGGUUCGUAUAAGAAAUGGGACUAAAGUCCUAGGGCUUUAGUGAUGAGCCUUUAGUCUCGGUUCCUAAACCGGGACAGAUGGGCCUUACGAACCGAGACAAAUGGCCCUUUUUCUACUAGUGACUUGACUAGCUCGUUGAAUCAAUGAUGGUUAUGUUUCCUAACCAUAGACAUGAGUUGUCAUUUGAUUAACGAGAUCAUGUGAUUAUAGAAUGAUGUGAUUGACUUGACCAUCCAUUAGCUUAGCACGAUGAUCGUUUAGUUUGUUGCUAUUGCUUUGUCCAUAACUAUACAUGUUCCUAUGGCUAUGAGAUCAUGCAACUCCCGAGUACCGGAGGAACACUUUGUGUGCUACCAAAUGUCACAACGUAACUGGGUGAUUAUAAAGGUGCUCUACAGGUGUCUCCAAUGGUGUGUGUUAAGUUGGCAUGGAUGAAGAUUAGGAUUUGUCACUCCGAUUGUCGGAGAGGUAUCUCUGGGCCCUCUCGGUAAUGUGCAUCACUAUAAGCCUUGGAAGCAAUGUAUCUAAUGAGUUAGUUACAGGAUGUAGCAUUACAGAACGAGUAAAGAGACUUGCCGGUAACGAGAUUGAACUAGGUAUUGAGAUACCGACAAUCGAAUCUCGGGCAAGUAACAUAGCAAUGACAAAGGGAACAACGUAUGUCGUUAUGCGGUUUGACCGAUAAAGAUCUUCGUAGAAUAUGUGGGAACCAAUAUGAGCAUCUAGGUUCCUCUAUUGGUUAUUGACCGGAGACAUGUCUCGGUCAUGUCUACAUAGUUCUCGAACCCAUAGGGUCCGCAUGCUUAAUGUUCGGUGACGAUCGGUAUUACGAGUUUAUGUGUUUUGAUGUACCGAAGGUAGUUCGGAGUCCUGGAUUCGAUCACGGACAUGACGAGGAGUCUAGAAAUGGUCAAGACAUAAAGAUCGAUAUAUUGGAAGCCUAUGUUUGCACAUCAGAAUGGUUCCGGAUGAGUUCGGGCAUUUUUCGGAGUACCGGGAGGUUACCGGAACCCCCCGGGGAGUAUAUGGGCCUUAUUAGGCCUUAGUGGAAAAGAGGAGAGGGAAGGAAAAGGUGGGAGGCGCGCCCCCUAGCCCAAUCUGAAUUGGGAGGGGGCGCCCCCUUUCCUUUCUCCUCUCCUCCCCUUCCUUCUCUCCUACUCCUACUACAUUGAAGGGGGGAAUCCUACUCCCGGUGGGAGUAGGACUCGCCUAGGGCGCGCCAUAGAGAGGGCCGGCCCCUCCCCUCCUCCACUCCUUUAUAUACGGCGGAGGGGGGCACCCCAUGGACACACAAGUUGAUCAUUAAUAUUUUAGCCAUGUUCGGUGCCCCCUCCACCAUAAUCCACCUCGGUCAUAUCGUAGCGGUGCUUAGGCGUAGCCCUAUUCCGGUAGCAUCAUCAUCACCGUCAUCACGCCGGCGUGCUGAUGAAACUCUCCCUCGAAGCUCUACUAGAUCGUGAGUUUGCAGGACAUCACCGAGCCGAACGUGUGCAGAUCGCGGAGGUGCCGUACCUUCGGUGCUAGAUCGGUCGAUCGUGAAGACGUAUGACUACAUCAAUAGUGUUGUCAUAACGCUUCCGCUUACGGUCUAUGAGGGCACAUAGACGAUACUCUCCCCUCUCGUUGCUAUGCAUUACCAUGAUCUUGCGUGUGCGUAGGAAAUAUUUUGAAAUUACCGCAUUCCCCAACAGUGGCAUCCGAGCCAGGUUUAUGCAUAGAUGUUAUAUGCACGAGUAGAACACAAAGGAGUUGUGGGCAUGGGUAUAUACAUAGUGCUUGCCGUCACUAGUUGAUUCUUGAUUCAGCGGCAUUGUUGGAUGAAGCAGCCCAGAACGACAUUACGUGUACGCUUACGCGAGACUGGUUCUACCGACGUGCUUCACACACAGGUGGCUAGUGGGUGUCUAUUUCUCCAGCUUUAGUUGAAUCGGAUUCAAUGAACAGGGUUCUUUCUGAAGAUCAAAAGGCAAUCACUAUACCGCGUUAUGGUUUUUGAUGCGUAGGUAAGAACGGUUCUUGCUCAGCCCGUAGCAGCCACGUAAAACUUGCAACAACAAAGUAGAGGACGUCUAACUUGUUUUUGCAGGGCAUGUUGUGAUGUGAUAUGAUUAAUACAUGAUGCUAAAUUUUAUUGUAUGAGAUGAUCAUGUUUUGUAACACAGUUAUCGACAACUGGCAGGAGCCAUAUGGUUGUUGCUUUAUUGUAUGAAAUGCAAUCGCCAUGUAAUUGCUUUACUUUAUCACUAAGCGGUAGCGAUAGUCAUAGAAGCAAUAGUUGGCAAGACGACAACGAUGCUUCGAUGAAGAUCAAGGUGUCAAGCCGGUGACGAUGGUGAUCAUGACGGUGCUUUGAAGAUGAAGAUCAAAGGCACAAGAUGAUGAUGGCCAUAUCAUAUCACUUAUAUUGAUUGCAUGUGAUGUUUAUCCUUUAUGCAUCUUAUUUUGCUUAGUUCGGCGGUAGCAUUAUAAGAUGAUCUCUCACUAAAUUUCAAGGUAUAAGUCUUCUCCCUGAGUAUGCACCGUUGCUACAGUUCGUCGUGCCGAGACACCACGUGAUGAUCGGGUGUGAUAAGCUCUACGUUCACAUACAACGGUGCAAGCCAGUUUUGCACACGCAGAAUACUCGGGUUAAACUUGACGAGCCUAGCAUAUGCAGAUAUGGCCUCGGAACACUGGAGACCGAAAGGUUGAGCAUGAAUCAUAUAGUAGAUAUGAUCAACAUAGUGAUGUUCACCAUUGAAAACUACUCCAUCUCACGUGAUGACCGGACAUGGUUUAGUUGAUAUGGAUCACGUGAUCACAUAGAUGAUUAGAGAGAUGUCUAUCUAAGUGGGAGUUCUUAAGUAAUUUGAUUAAUUGAACUUUAAUUUAUCAUGAACUUAGUACAUGAUAGUAUUUUGCAUGUCUAUGUUGUUGUAGAUAGAUGGCCCGUGCUGUUGUUCCAUUGAAUUUUAAUGUGUUCCUAGAGAAAGCUAAGUUGAAAGAUGAUGGUAGUAACUACACGGACUGGGUCCGUAACUUGAGGAUUAUCCUCAUUGCUGCACAGAAGAAUUACGUCCUAGAAGCACCGCUAGGUGACAAACCCGCUGCAGGAGCACCGACAGAUGUUAUGAACACAUGGCAGAGCAGAGCUGAUGACUACUCGAUAGUUCAGUGUGCCAUGCUUUACGACUUAGAACCGGGACUUCAACGAUGUUUUGAACGUCAUGGAGCAUAUGAGAUGUUCCAGGAGUUUAAGUUCAUAUUUCAAGCAAAUGCACGAAUUGAGAGAUAUGAUGUCUCCAAAAAGUUCUACAGCUGCAAGAUGGAGGAGAAUAGUUCUGUCAGUGAACAUAUACUCAGAAUGUCUGGGUACCACAACCACUUGACUCAACUGGGAGUUUAUCUUCCUGAUGAUAGUGUCAUUGACAGAGUUCUUCAAUCAUUGCCACCAAGCUAAUAUGCAAGGGAUGGAUAAGACGAUUCCCGAGCUCUUCGUAAUGCUAAAGGCUGCGGAGGUAGAAAUUAAGAAGGAGCAUGAAGUGUUGAUGGUCAACAAGACCACCAGUUUCAAGAAAAAGGGUAAAUGGAAGAAGGGGAACUUCAAGAAGAACAACAAGCUAGUUGCUGCUCAAGUGAAGAAACCCAAGUCUGGUCCUAAGCCUGAGACUGAGUGCUUCUACUGCAAAGGAACUGGUCACUAGAAGCGGAACUGCCCCAAGUAUUUGGCGGAGAAGAAGGAUGGCAAAGUGAAAGGUAUAUUUGAUAUACAUGUUAUUGAUGUGUACCUUACUAAUGCUCGCAGUAGUGCCUGGGUAUUUGAUACUGGUUCAGUUCCUAACAUUUGCAACUUGAAACAGAGGCUACGGAUUAAGCGAAGAUUGGCUAAGGACGAGGUGACGAUGCACGUGGGAAAUGGUUCCAAAGUCGAUGUGAUCGCCGUUGGCACGCUACCUCUACAUCUACCUUUGGGAUUAGUUUUAGACCUAAAUAAUUGUUAUUUGGUGCCAGCGUUAAGCAUGAACAUUAUAUCUAGAUCUUGUUUGAUGCGAGACGGUUGUUCAUUUAAAUCAGAGAAUAAUGGUUGUUCUAUUUAUAUGGGUAAUAUCUUUUAUGGUCAUGCACCCUUGAUGAGUGGUCUAUUUUUACUAAAUCUUGAUAGUAGUGAUACACAUGUUCAUAGUAUUGAGGCCAAAAGAUGCAGAGUUGAUAAUGAUAGUGCAACUUAUUUGUGGCACUGCCGCAUAGGUCAUAUUGGUGUAAAGCGCAUGAAGAAACUCCAUUCUGAUGGACUUCUGGAAUCACUUGAUUAUGAAUCACUUGGUACAUGUGUACCAUGCCUCAUGGGCAAGAUGACUAAAGCUCCGUUCUCCGGAACAAUGGAGCGAGAACAGAGUUAUUGGAGAUCAUACAUACUGAUUUAUGUGGUCCAAUGAACAUUGAAGCUCGCGGUGGAUAUCGUUAUUUUCUCACCUUCACAGAUGAUUUGAGCAGAUAUGGGUAUAUCUACUUAAUGAAACAUAAGUCUGAAACAUUUGAAAAGUUGAAAGAAUUUCCGAGUGAAGUGGAAAAUCAUUGUAACAAGAAAAUCAAGUUUCUACAAUCUGAUCGUGGAGGCGAAUAUUUGAGUUGUGAGUUUGGACUUCAUCUGAAACAAUGUGGAAUAGUUUCGCAACUCACGCCACCUGGAACACCACAGUGUAAUGGUGUGUCCGAACAUCGUAAUCGUACUUUACUAGAUAUGGUGCGAUCUAUGAUGUCUCUCACUGAUUUACCGCUAUCGUUUUGGCAUUACGCUUUAGAGACUACUGCAUUCAUGUUAAAUAGGGAACCAUCUAAAUCCGUUGAGACGACACCUUAUGAACUAUGGUUUGGCAAGAAACCCAAGUUGUCGUUGAGGGAGUCAUGGACUAAGGGUCCUCGGGCGUCCGACCUGUUGGACAAGGGCCGGACUAAUGGGCUGUGAAGAUUCAACACCGAAGACUUUCUCCCGUGUCUGGAUGGGAUCCUCCUUGGCGUGGAAGGCAAGCUUGGCGACCAAAUAUGAAGAUUACUUUCUCUGUAACCGACCUUGUACAUCCCUAGUCCCCUCCGGUGUCUAUAUAAACCGGAGGGCUUAGUCUGGAUCAAUAUACAAUCAUAAUCUUAGUCAUACAAGGUAGACUUCUAGGGUUUAGCCAUUACAAUCUCGUGGUAGAUCAACUCUUGUAAUACUCAUAUUCAUCAAGAUCAAUCAAGCAGGAAGUAGGGUAUUACCUCCAUAGAGAGGGCCCGAACCUAGGUAAACAUUGUGUCCCCUGUCUCCUGUUACCAACGACCUUAGACGCACAGUUUGGGACCCCCUACCCGAGAUCCGCCGGUUUUGACACCGACAUUGGUGCUUUCAUUGAGAGUUCCGCUUUGCCGUCCUCAGAAGGUUUGAUGGCUCCUUCAAUCAUCUACAACGAUGCUGUCCAAGGGGAAGUCUUCCUCCCCGGACAGAUCUUCGUGUUCGGCGGCUUCGCACUACGGGCCAACUCGCUUGGCCAUUUGGAGCAGAUCGAUAGCUACGCCCCUGGUCAUUAGGACAGAUUCGAGAGCUUGAACUACAUCGCGGUUAUCCGCGGAGACUUGAUCUUCAACGGAUUUGAUACCACGACAAUCGCUCCCCGUCACCUCGAUGAACAUGACUUAGAUCUGUCAUCAGGCAAUUCCCAGGAAAUUGCACCUAUAACCGCUCUGGCCUUAGAUCCGGAGCAGGUUGCGCCAUCCGAGGACAGGAAACUCAACCCUGCCACAGAAGCCGUAGACUCCACAGCAUUUGAGCCACACACAGACCUAACCUCCGUAAUGCCUGUGUCACCGGAACCUUGGACUCGUUUCCGGUUAUAAGUUCCGAACUGUUGAGCAUGAUCGAUUAUCGAUCGCUGAAUUCAGCGCCGCAGACAUCUUCCGGCACUCACCUUUGGGAGAUGUGCUGAACUCAUUAAAAAAUCUAUCCUUAGCAGGGGAUUCACAGCCGAACUAUAUCCGGUCGAACUAGAAGUUGAUGACGGGGAAGAGGAGCAGAAGAGGAGCAUGGCCAAAACCCGCCGUUUACCGGAUGUUGGACAACCACUUCUUCGUACGACGUAUACAUGGUGGAUACGCCUAAAGAAUCCAAUGACAACGACAAAGAAGAUCCAGUCGAGGACAAACCUCCUGGGACACAGCCUAAGCGCCGACGUCAGCGGUGCCGCUCUAAGUCACGUCGUGCAAAACAUAGCAAUACCGGCACAGGAGAAGAUAAUACUCCUGACGGUGCCGACGAUAAUGAAGACCCCAUUGAAGCAACUUCCGAACAAGAAGAACGGGAAGAUGGGAAAGUUAGCCCCGACGAACGGGCCAUAAACGAAGACUCGAUGGACAGUAAUUAUCUUCUACUCUCCGAGGAUGAGGUGAGCCUCGGCACCGAGGAUUUCAUCGAGCCUGAAGAGUCUCUCGAGUAGGAGCGCUUCAAGCGCCAGCUAAUAGCCACUGCAAGAAGCCUGAAAAAGAAGAAGAAGCAACUUCAAGCUGAUCAAGAUCUGCUAAAUGAUAGAUGGACUGAGGUCCUGGCAGCCGAAGAAUACGGCCUUAAGCGCCCAGCCAAAAGUUACCCGAAGCGCAAAUUGCUACCUCAGUUCGAAGAUGAAGUGCUGGAGCUCAUACCAUCAUCACACAAUGAGGCUGACUGACUACCACGUGGUCGGGAUAAAGAGGCAACUCAAGCCGAACACCAGCCCGCCCCGCCCCAUUAUAAAGUCAAAGAUAAAAUAGCUCGUGGUCACACAUAUGACCUCCGGCAGGACCUGAACAAUAGAGCAGGGCAUACCAGAUCGAUCUAUGGACCGCGAGGAUGUACCUCGGCACGUGUCGAUGGCUAUCUAUUCAGACAUGACAAGCCUAGUCAUGCAUGGGACGAACACCGCAGAAGGACUCCAUCGGAGUUACGUCGCGAUGCGGCCCGAUAUAGAGGCGCCCCACACCCUCUUUGCUUCACUGAUGAAGUAAUGGAUCAUGAAUUCCCGGAAGGGUUUAAAUCCGUAAAUAUCAAAUCAUACGAUGAAACAACUAACCCCGCGGUGUGGAUCGAGGACUUUAUUCUCCACAUUCGUAUGGCUCGUGGAGAUGACCUCCAUGCCAUCAAAUACCUCCCUUUAAAACUCAAAGGGCCAGCUCGGCACUGGCUAAACAAUCUGCCUAAAAAUUCUAUUGGCAGCUGGGAGGACUUGGAAGAGGCUUUUCUCGACUACUUCCAAGGUACAUAUGUCCGGCCACCAGAUGUUGAUGACUUAAGUCACAUUGUCCAACACCGGAGAGUCAGCCAGGAAGAUCUGGACUAGGUUCUUAGUUAAAAAAACCAAAUCGUCGACUCCGGACGCGGAAGCCCUAGCAGCCUUCAAGCAUAGCGUUCGGGAUGAGUGGCUCGCUCGCCACCUCGGUCAAGAAAAAUCAAAAUCCAUGCCAGCCCUUACCGCUCUGAUGAUCCAUUUUUGUGUGGGAGAAGACAGUUGGCUCACUCGUAGAAGCAACAACGCCAGUGAUCUGGGCACUUCCGAAGUCCGGGACAGCAAUGGAAAACCAGGACGCAGCAAAUACAAACACCGCAAUGAUAACGAAAGAACGCAUGACACAUCGGUCAACGCCAAAUUCAGCGGCCCCAAAUCCGGUCAAUGGAAGAAGACAUUCAAGGCAAAUAGAGAUGGACCAUCCAAUUUGGACAAGAUAUUGGACCGGCCCUGCCAGAUUCAUGGCCUCCCCGACAAACCAACUUAUCAUACCAACAGAAGAUGUUGGGUCUUCAAGCAAGUCGGCAAGCUCAACACCGAACACAAGGGGAGGAGGCCGCCAGGCGAUAGUGACGACCAAGAGGGUCACCAACCAAAUACCAGGGGUCAGAAGCAAUUUCCCCCCGAGGUGAAAAUAGUGAACAUGGUAUACGUGACACACAACUCUACAAGGGAGCAGGAGAAACACUCCCUCCGGACUGAGGAUCACACUACGGCGCCCUCAGCCAAAGUACAAAGCGGUCUCAUUAAACCGCAUACCUUGUUGGCCAUUAAGCCACCGGUCUCCAUUCAACAGGAUCGGCCAAGUUUGGAGCAGGACUAGCAGUUCGGCUUCCGCCGUCCGCCUCAUAUACCUGCGAAAUAUGUACCAUGCAUACAUAACUAUGCACUUCAAAUAGCCCGGGCAUCGGCGGAAGCACAACACGGACGGGUCUACAAGUACUCCAAUAAGCUACUUCCUUUUUCCCUUUUCUAAAUUACUCUUUCUUUUUCCAUCAUCCUUUACCACAGGUAGCGCAAAGGCUGGUCAUCUCAUGGACGGUAUCAAAGUCCGGGUUCAUAAAUUCACCCAAAGGCUACUCCUGUUAAGGAGCCACUCCACUGAGGAAAGGCGACGCAGACGUGCGAUAGGAGGUCCAAAAUAACUUUUUAUAGACCGCACUUUCUAUUUUUUGAGCCUGUAAAGUGCCUGUUUCCUCAGCAGCCGACCCCUGGCAUGUCAAAUAGCUGGGGUUGUGGUGUUAUUAUCUAUAAAAUGACAAUUGGCAUGUCACUUGGUUUCUAGGGAAUAUACUCUGUAUCCGGUAUUCACUUUUCUAUAAAGAACCAAAUUUUUCUCCUUUUGGUUGUUUCGCACACCCACCCCGGCAUACCUUGCCAGGGGCUUGACAUAGGAACAAAAUAAGUUGCCAACAAAGUCCGAACAGCUUCAUAGCAUACUUCGGCAUCACGAGUUCGGCCUUAUAUGCAUUAGCUCCGAAUCAUGUCUUGGGUCAAUAGUUGGGUUGCCCGGCUCCUGUGCUUGCUACCUUACGUUCCGCUCUAUCGGCUAGGGUAGUAAAGGGAGAACUACUGCGAUUGUGUUUCUGGUUCAUCUGGUCAAACAGCUUAGUAGAGAAAGCCGAAAACUGACUGUCAUGAUGCGGCGAGAGUUGGUCAACCGCUCGACGACUUAACGGGGUCUUUUGCGAUUCCCCCGUAUUACACGAAGGACCUUUUUUCGGGUCAUACAUGUAACACACCGCAUUGGGAUAACUGCAUACAUAACAUGAUCUAUAUCGUAGAUCCACCAUAAAACUCCUAUGGCUAAGUGAAAGUGUUAACGCCCGAUAGUCCGAUUGCCUAGUUCACCGCAUUGACACCUCCUUUUUGGACCAAGACGUUGGGUUAAGAGUUAUCAAUUGCUUUUCCGAACACCCCCGUAUUUCCUACGAGGGGGAUGAAGCCGACGACUGGAAAUCUUUCAGAUUAUAUUAAAAUGGCCGCACAGGAGGAUUCAGAGCUUUUAAGAAACUCUAAAAUAAAAUUUAUUAUUUCAUAAUACUAUUUUUCACAAUAUCAAUACAUCUCACUCGAAUAUCAUAUCUUUCGAGCACUGACCCUCUAUCAACCGGGCAGCCUCCAAGGCAUCUUCGAAAUAAUGCUCUGGUGCAUUAUGGUCCUUGCCCUUGGGUGGACUCUUCGCUACAACAUCGAUGGCCUCCAUCUUCGUCCAAUAUGUUUUCACACGGGCAAAGGCCAUUCGUGCACCUUCAAUGCACGUUGCUCGCUUAACGGCGUCGAUGCGCGGCACCGUGGCAGCAAGCCGCUGCACCAAACCAAAAUAACUAUACGGAAUUGGCUCGGCCAGCCACAGCCGGACUACGACGUCUUUCAUGGCAGCGCCGGAUAUCCGGUGCAGUUCUGCCCAUUGGGUCAUCUGUUCAUAUAGCUAUAGUGGGCGCUUUGACGCACCAAAUUGCGACCAGAAAAGCUUCUCCGUUGCAUAACCUUCUUGCGUUUGGUAAAACUACGCCGCAUCGGAAGCACUCUUCAGCAAAUCCAAUAAAGCAUCUGGAGAACUCCACACUUGAUUAAGUGGAGCAUAAUUCAGAUCGCCGAACUUAGUUUGCAGUAAAAAGGGCUUACCAGCCGCGAUCUCCCCAGCAUGCCGAAUCUCCUCCCGGGCCGCUCUAGAUUUGGACCGGGCUUCUCUUGCCUCUUGUAAGGCCUUGUCAAUAUCAACGGUUUUGGCUUUAUUAUCCCUUUCGAGAUAUCCACAGCGGAUAGCGGCCUCCUUUAGUUCAAGCUUCAUCGAGGAUAUUUUCUCCUCGUCUUGGUGCCAAGCAACCUGUUCGGCCUUUAACUCGGCAGAUGCCUUUUCAGUAGCCGCAUUACUAAUCCCGGCCUGCUCCCUGGCCCGGGCUAGCUCAGCUCGAAGGAUUAUAUUGUAAACACAUGCAUAGUAUGGUGCCCCAAAAACAUACCUUGCGCCUCAUCAAGUUGCAUGUUGAUAAGCGCAAUAUCAUUAUCCGCCUCAUCAAUCUUGUGUUGCAAAUCCGCAACUUCUGUAGUCCGGGCAGUUAUGGGGGAGGUCACAGCUUGUGUUCCAAUUAAUCAGAUUAUUUCCUGGGCAUAUCUUUUGAUCCUCUGAUCGCCUUCCUCGGGAAGCCAAUCAAUGUCUCAGGGGCUACUGAGGGAGUCAUGGACUAAGGGGUCCUCGGGCGUCCGGCUUGUUGGACAUGGGCCGGACUAAUGGGUUGUGAAGAUUCAAGACCGAAGACUCUCUCUCCCGUGUCCGGAUGGGAUCCUCCUUGGCAUGGAAGGCAAACUUGGCGACCAAAUAUGAAGAUUCCUUUCUCUGUAACCGAACUUGUACAACCCUAGUCCCCUCCGAUGUCUAUAUAAACCGGAGGGCUUAGUCCAGAUUGAUAUACAAUCAUAAUCUUAGUCAUACAAGCUACACUUCUAGGGUUUAGCCAUUACGAUCUCGUGGUAGAUCAACUCUUGUAAUAAUCAUAUUCAUCAAGAUCAAUCAAGAAGGAAGUAGGGUAUUACCUCCAUAGAGAGGGCCCGAACCUGGGUAAACAUUGUGUCCCCUGUCUCCUGUUACUAUCAACCUUAGACGCUCAGUUCGGGACCCCCUGCCCGAGAUCCGCCGGUUUUGACACCGACAGUCGUUUCUUAAAGUUUGGGGCUGCGAUGCUUAUGUGAAAAAGCUUCAACCUGAUAAGCUCGAACCCAAAUCGGAGAAAUGCGUCUUCAUAGGAUACCCAAAGGAGACUGUUGGGUACACCUUCUAUCACAGAUCCAAAGGCAAGAUAUUCGUUGCUAAGAAUGAAUCCUUUCUAGAGAAGGAGUUUCUCUCAAAAGAAGUGAGUGGGAGGAAAGUAGAACUUGACGAGGUAAUUGUACCUUCUCCCUUAUUGGAAAGUAGUUCAUCACUGAAAUCAGUUCCAGUGAUUCCUACACCAGUAAGUGAGGAAGCUAAUGAUGACAAUCAUGAAACUCUAAUCAAGUUACUAGCGAACCUCGUCGGUCAACCAAAGUAAGAUCCGCACCAGAGUGGUACGGUAAUCCUGUUCUGGAAGUCAUGUUACUUGACCAUAAUGAACCUAUGAACUAUGAGGAAGUGAUGAUGAGCCCAGAUUCCACAAAAUGGCUUGAAGCCAUGAAAUCUGAGAUGGGAUCCAUGUAUGAGAACAAAGUAUGGACUUUGGUUGACUUGCCCGAUGAUCGGCAAGCCAUAGAGAAUAAAUGGAUCUUCACGAAGAAGACUGACGCUGACGGUAAUGUUACUGUCUAGAAAGCUCGACUUGUUGCAAAAGGUUUUCGACAAGUUCAAGGAGUUGACUACGAUGAGACCUUCUGACCCGUAGCGAUGCUUAAGUCCGUCCGAAUCAUGUUAGCAAUUUUCGCAUUUUAUGAUUAUGAAAUUUUACUAAUGGAUGUCAAAACUGUAUUCCUUAAUGGAUAUCUUAAAGAAGAGUUGUAUAUGAUGCAACCAGAAGGUUUUGUCGAGCCAAAAGGUGCUAACAAAGCGUGCAAGCUUCAGCGAUCCAUUUAUGGACUGGUGCAAGCCUCUCGGAGUUGUAAUAUAUGCUUCGAUAGUGUGAUCAAAGCAUAUGGUUUUAUACAGACUUUUGGAGAAGCCUGUAUUUACAAGAAAGUGAGUGGGAGCUCCAUAACAUUUCUGAUAUUAUAUGUAGAUGACAUAUUGUUGAUCGGAAAUAAUACUGAAUUUCUGAAUAGCAUAAAAGGAUACUUGAAUAAGAAUUUUUCAAUGAAAGACCUCGGUGAAGCUACUUAUAUAUUGGGCAUCAAGAUCUUUGGAGAUAGAUCAAGACGCUUAAUUGGACUUUCACAAAGCACAUACCUUGAUAAAGUUUUGAAGAAGUUCAAAAUGGAUCAGGCAAAGAAAGGGUUCUUGCCUGUAUUACAAGGUGUGAAGUUGAGUCAGACUCAAUGCCUGGCCACUGCAGAAGAUAGAGAGAAAAUUAAAGGUGUUCCCUAUGCUUCAGCCAUAGGCUCUAUCAUGUAUGAAAUGUUGUGUACCAGACCUGAUGUGUGCCUUGCUAUAAGUUUAGCAGGGAGGUACCAAAGUAAUCCAGGAGUGGAUCACCGGACAACAGUCAAGAACAUCCUGAAAUACCUAAAAAGUACUAAGGAUAUGUUUCUCAUAUAUGGAGGUGACAAAGAGCUCGUCGUAAAUGGUUACGUCGAUGCAAGCUUUGACACUGAUCUGGAUGACUCAAAGUCAGAAACCGGAUACGUGUUUUUAUUAAAUGGUGGAGCUAACAGUUGGUGCAGUUCCAAGUAGAGCGUCGUGGCAGGAUCUACGUGUGAAGCAGAAUACAUAGCUGCUUCGGAAGCAGCAAAUGAAGGUGUCUGGAUGAAGGAGUUCAUACCCGAUCUAGGUGUCAUACCUAGUGCAUCGGGUCCAAUGAAAAUCUUUUGUGACAAAACUGGAGCAAUUGCCUUGGCAAAGGAAUCCAGAUUUCACAAGAGAACCAAGCACAUCAAGAGAGGCUUCAAUUCCAUCCACGGUCAAGUCAAGGAAGGAGACAUAGAGAUUUGCAAGAUACUUACGGAUCUGAACGUUGCAGACCCGUUGACUACGCCUCUCUCACGAGCAAAACAUGAUCAGCACCAAGACUCCAUGGGUGUUAGAAUCAUUACAAUGUAAUCUAGAUUAUUGACUCUAGUGCAAGUGGGAGACUGAAGGAAAUAUGCCCUAGAGGCAAUAAUAAAGUUGUUAUUUAUAUUUCCUUAUAUCAUGAUAAAUGUUUAUUAUUCAUGCUAGAAUUGUAUUAACUGAAAACUUAGUACAUGUGUGAAUACAUAGACAAACAGAGUGUCACUAGUUUGCCUCUACUUGACUAGCUCGGUGAAUCAAUGGUGGUUAUGUUUCCUAACCAUAGACAUGAGCUGCCAUUUGAUUAGCGGGAUCACAUCAUUAGAGAGUGAUGUGAUUGACUUGACCCAUCCAUUAGCUUAGCACGAUGAUCGUUUAGUUUGUUGCUAUUGCUUUCUCCAUAACUAUACAUGUUCCUAUUACUAUGAGAUCAUGCAACUCCCGAGUACCAGAGGAACACUUUGUGUGCUACCAAACGUCACAACAUAACUGGGUGGCUAUAAAGGUGCUCUAUAGGUGUCUCUGAUGGUGUUUGUUGAGUUGGCAUGGAUCAAGAUUAGGAUUUGUCACUCCAAUUGUCGGAGAGGUAUCUCUGGGCCCUCUCGGUAAUGUACAUCACUAUAAGCCUUCCAAGCAAUGUAGCUAAUGAGUUAGUUACGGGGUGUAGCAUUAUGGAACGAGUAAAGAGACUUAUCGGUAAUGAGAUUGAACUAGGUAUUGAGAUACCGACGAUCGAAUCUCGGGCAAGUAACAUACUGAUGACAAAGGGAACAACUUAUAUCGUUAUGCGGUUUGACCGAUAAAGAUCUUCGUAGAAUAUGUAGGAAGCAAUAUGAGCAUCCAGGUUCCGCUAUUGGUUAUUGACUGGAGACAAGUCUCGGUCAUGUCUACAUAGUUCUCAAACCCGUAGGAUCCGCACGGUUAACGUUCGAUGACGAUCGAUAUUAUGAGUUUAUGUGUUUUGAUGUACUGAAGGUAGUUUGGAGUCCUGGAUUUGAUCACAGACAUGACGAGGAGUCUCGAAAUGGUCGAGACAUAAAGAUCAAUAUAUUGGAAGCCUAUGUUUGGACAUCGGAAUGGUUCCGGAUGAGUUCGGGCAUUUUCCAGAGUACCGGGAGGUUACUGGAACCCUCCGGGGAGUAUAUGGGCCUUAUUAGGCCUUAGUUGAAAAGAGGAGAGGGAAGGAAAAGGUGGGAGGCACGCCCCCCUAGCCCAAUCCGAAUUGGGAGGGGGCGCCCCCCUUUCCUUUCUCCUCUCCUCCCCUUCCUUCUCUCCUACUCCUACUACAUGGAAGGGGGGAAUCCUACUCCCGGUGGGAGUAGGACUCCCCUAGGGCGCGCGAUAGAGAGGGCCGACCCCUCCUCUCAUCCACUCCUUUAUAUAUGGGGGAGGGGGCACCCCAUAGACACACAAGUUGAUCAUUGAUCUUUUAGCCGUGUGCGGUGCCCCCCUCCACCAUAAUCCACCUCUAUCAUAUUGUAGUUGUGCUUAGGCGAAGCCCUGUUCCGGUAGCAUCAUCAUCACCGUCAUCACACCGUCAUGCUAACAAAACUCUCCCUCUAAGGUCUACUGGAUCGUGAGUUCGCGGGACGUCACCGAGCCGAACGUGUGUAGAUCACGGAGGUGUCGUACCUUCGGUGCUAGAUCGGUCGAUCGUGAAGACGUACGACUACAUCAAACGUGUUGUCAUAACGUUUCCGCUUACGGUCUAUGAGGGUACAUAGACGAUACUCUCCCCUCUUGUUGCUAUGCGUCACCAUGAUCUUGCGUGUGCAUAGGAAAUUUUUUGAAAUUACUGCGUUCCCCAACAACUACACCCACAUGCGUCAGGGCUACACCCAGACCGACACACAGCAGGCCCACAUGCACAAACAACAACAGGAUUGGGCCGGCGGACAGGUGGAGGAGGAGGUGGUGGAGGAGGAUGAGUACGACGAAGACGAUGAUCCUGAUGAUUUUGCCAGCGAUCCGAAGAAGAAGGGUAGAUGAGAAAUCUUCAACAAUGUGGGAGGACAAGCUAUUGUGCAACAAAUGGUUGGCCACUAGCAUCGAUCCGAUCCAUGGCAUGAAACCAAAGGGCUCAACUUUUUGAGCCAACAUUCACACAUGGUUCCAUGAACACAAGCAUUUUGCGCCCUACUCCGAUGCGGUCACCCGCAACCGAACCAAAGCCCCUCAACCAACGAUGGUACACAAUCCAAGAGGCCGUGUCCAAAUAUUGUGGCCAUUUGGCGCAUCUCAUCGCAUGGUGGCCUAGUGGUGCCCGAAUCACCGAGCAAGUAAGUUCAUUUGGCCGGACAUGCAUUGUUUUGUAGUGGAAUAUGCAUAGUUUUGUUGAUCAUUGGCCGGAUAUGCAUAGUUUAGUUGAUCACUAGCCGAAUAUGCAUAUUUUUCCGAUCACUUGUCGGAUAUGCAUAGUUUUGUUGAUCAUUUGUUGGAUAUGCACAGUUUUGUAGCCGGAUAUGCAUAGUUUUGCUUAUCAUUUGUCGGAUAUGCACAGUUUUGUAGCCGGAUAUGCAUAGUUCUACUAAUCAUUGUCCAGAUAUGCACAGUCUAGCUUUGCUGAUCAUUUGCCAUAUGUGCAUAGUUUUGUACUGGAUAUGCAUAGUUUUGUUGAUCAUUGUCCGAAUAUGCAUAAUUUUUAUUAAUCACUAGCUGGAUAUGCAUAGUUUUGUUGAUCACUAGCCGGAUGUGCAUAGUUUUGUUGACAAUGUUUUAUUUUGUAGCCUUCUAGAGCAUGUACGGUGUUCACGAAGUUGGAAAAGGAAAACUUCACCGUACACGCACUAGAAGGCUACAAAAUAAUUUGCCUCCUUGUGUUUUGGAGAUUGUCGACAUAAAUAGUGUGGGACUAAUGUGUUUGCUAGUGCACAUAGAGUGGCAAGUUCCUUAAGUCAUGUGGAGUUUGGAACAAAUGCCGAAGAUAAUCUCCUACGAGGCAGCGAGGAUUAUCACCGAAGGUUCUUCCUGUCGAAAGUGAACCUCUAAAAUUGUUGAUGCAAAGCAUUUAGGUCGGUGUGUGUCCGAAGAAACUGACAGCAACCGAGAAGUUUGAAGACGGAGAAAAGAUGUAGUAUUUUCUUUUGUUGUUCUUCUUCUCUUUCUUGAGUCAUAGGACCACCGUACUAUUAAGAGGGGUAUAGUGUUCAAAAUUUACGGUUCUCUGAAGCUAAACCAAAACCUAUGUGAGUCGAGAGAAAUUUAUUUGUGCUCUGAAUUUAGACUCUCCAGUAAGAGAUGAAGUUCUUUGCUGCAAGAUAUUUGAUUCGGACCAAGGAGUUAGCAUUACGUGCUUCGCUAGUAAUGUUACCGUUGUGCUAAAAAAUCUGACCAUUGGUUACAUGUCGGUUGGGCAUUGGACGAGUGGUCAUGGCCAAAAUGGUCUUUUCCCAUCAGGAAUACUACGGCUAUAAAUAGCCCACCCCUUCCAAUGUGUACCGUUCGCUGCUCCAUUUGAUUUCUGAGAAGAUUGUGAGAGCACCCUCUCUCCUGAGUGAGUUGAGUUUAAAAUCCACUGAGAGAAAAACCCCAGAGCCAAAAAAUUAGAUAGUGGUUUAGCAUCACUUGAAUCUAAGUCUAGUACGCUCUGCCUAUUACUCUUGAGAGCUGUAAACUCUCUAUGUGGUUAGUUGUCAAGUCUUUCUUGACCAAUAGUAGUUUUGGUUCACGAAGACAAAGUCUAUAAAGGUUCGAAGAUCGCCUCAAGUAUCUACCAUGAGUGAUCGGCUCUGGUUGACGAAUCAGUUGUUGAGGAGAAUAGGGCGAAGAGAGUUUAUCUUUUGUAUUCAAUCACGAACCCCUCCAAGCAAAUGUAGUCCAUUUGCAGAAGGGUGAACUGGUCUACCAAAUCAUUUGUCGGCAUCGAGCAUCAUUGAUUAUUUCUUAACUCUGUUUACCUUUGCCCAUCUGUUGAGAAUUAUGUCUCGACCAUGUGAUUGAUUCUCCUUGACUGUUGUAAUUCUCGUUUGAUAGUCAUUUCUCGUUCUUCAUUCAUAGUUUACCUUCGUUCCGCUGCUGGGUUCCAGAGAUUUGAAGUUUCUUAAAGAAAAUUUUCAUCUCCCAUCCACUCCGAUACUCUGUUAGACGUACAUCGUUCCUACAAGACAUAUACAGGGUAGCAUUGGAUGGCUACCUCCCGCAUCCUUGUCCGCAGACUGGUCCCCCAAUCCGCAGACGGAUGCCGAAGCAAAUUUGUGGGUCAGCAUUGAAGAUGCCCUAACAACUCCCUCCAUUUCGAAUUACUUGUCUCGGAUUUGUCUAAAUACAAAUGUAUCUAACAGGUUUUAGUGUUAGAUACAUUUAUAUCUAAACAUAUCAAACAAGUAAUUUGAGACAUAUGUAAUAUUAGGGUGUACACGACAAUGUCAAGAUAAUGAUUAUAUGAUGUGUGCAUCGACCAGGGAUUUAAAUUGCUAGUCCUAUAUAGCAUUUUGGGAGACUAAAAGCAAACUGUUGUACUCUGUAGCGCUACCCUAGCUACGACCGCUAUAGCGCCAAAUAGCCGCACUAUUUGGCAUACUCUGCUAUUAGUUAUAGCUAAAUAUAUUAUCUCAUAUACAUGUAAAUUUAAUAAAAGAACCAAUGUAUAUAACUAACUAACAUGAAAAAUAGAAACCCAAAUAGCAUAGAAUCCAAUCUUUCUUGGGAGGUUGUUUUAUAUUGGAGGUUCGAUGGGUUGGUCAAUGCUUCAAGGCGACUCCCACCAACACUGAUGAUGUCACAACCAAGUGAGAAAAUAAACCACCUAUCCAUAUGUUGAUUAGUUAUAUAAAUGUGUGUGUGUGUGUUGGGUUCUCCUUCGACCUUAUUUGGCAUGUAUUUCAAUGUUAUACCCUUGUUUUCCCUUUAAAACACUAUUGUAAUAGCUUCCACUAUAGCUUGUGAUAGCUCACAUAGCUAUAGCCCGAACCUCGCCACGAUGUCGCGAAAAAGCGAUUUAAAACCUUGGUAUCGACCCCGAACCGAAUCAAACUUUUCGAAAACUGUGAAAGCCCUACCGGGAAGCGGUUAGGGUUUCAUACAGGUUGGCGGCACCCGCAGACUUGAUCGGUGAGGCACAUCUGAGAUCCCUGACCGGAGAUGGCAACAUCCCUUGGGCGCAACGAUGGGAAAGGAGUCGGAGCCUUUUUUCCCAAGUCCGAUAGGGCUCGUCUCAAGGAACACCUAGGGAAAGGGGCGCCGAAGAAGUGGAUGGUGGUGGCGAAUGUUCUACAUGGCAACAUAUUCCACAUCCAGACGGUCUCCAACACCAUGCGCCCUGCAUGGGAUAACCUAAGGGCCUUAUCUUCCGUCAAGUGGGCAAGAACAUGCACGUUGUGGAGUUCGCAACACAGCACAACUGUGAUUGCUUGUGGGAGGGAUCCCCAUGGCACAUAAGUAAACAUGUGGUGAUCUUGUUAGAGUUCGACGGGUGCAUGUGCCCAUUGGAAUUCAAGUUUAAUCAGCUGCAUGUUUGGGAUAGAGUUCUGAAUCUUCCCUUUAAUCUUUGCGAUGAGGCAUGGAGUCUUCAAAUACCAAAGCAGAUUGACAAGGAAGCUACUUUUGUUCACUUUUAUCUUGGUAGAGGCUGAUACAUCUCCGUAUCUAUAAUUUUUGAUUAUUUCAUGCUAUUAUAUUAUCAAUCUUGAAUACUUUUUGUAUGAUUUUUAUAUCAUUUUGGGGGACUAACCUAUUAACUCAAUGCCUAGUGCCAGUUGUUGUUUUGUGCUUGUUUCUGGAGUUCCAGGAAAUGUGUACCAAACGGAGUCCAAACACUAUGGAACUUUUUGAUGAUUUUUUCUGGACAAAAGGGACCCUAGAAGCUUUGGGAGGAGACCAGAGGAGAAGCGAGGAGACGGCAAGGCAACAGGGCGUGCCCAGGGAGUAGGUGUGCCCUGCUACCUUGUGGGCUCCACGUGGCUCCGUCGGACCUAAUUUCACUUCUAUAAAUUCUUAAAUAUUGGGAAACCCCUUGAUACAUCUCCGUUGUAUCAACUUUUCCUAAUGCUUUUCCUCUUGUUUUGGACUCUAAUUUGCAUGAUUUGAAUGAAACUAACCCGGACUGAUGCUGUUUUCAGCAGAACUACCAUGGUGUUGUUUUUGUGCAGAAAUAAAAGUUCUCUGAUUGGAACGAAACUUUGCAAGGAAUUUUUACUUGAAUAAAGAAAAAUAUUAGAGCCAAGUACCACCAGAGUGGGGCCCCUGGGUGAGCACAACCCACCAGGGAGACCCCCCUCCAGGCGCGCCCAUGUGUGUUGUCCCCACCUGGUGGCCCCACAGACCCUGAAACCGACGCUAUAAAAUCACAUUUUUCCAGAAAAAAAUUAGGGAGGAAGAAUUAUCUCGUUUCGCGAUACGGGGCCGCCGUCACCUCCUGUUCUUCAUCGGGAGGCUAGAUCUGGAGUCCGUUUGGGCUGCGGAGAGGGGAAUCUUCGGUAUUCGUCAUCACCAAUCCUCCUCCAUCGCCAAUUCCAUGAUGCUCUCCACCGGGAGUGAAUAAUUCCUUCGUAGGCUCGCUGGUCGAUGAGGAGUUGGAUGAGAUUCAUCAUGUAAUCGAGUUGGUUUUAUUAGGGCUUGAUCCCUAGUAUCCACUAUGUUCUGAGAUUGAUGUUGCUAUGACUUUGCCAUGCUUAAUGCUUGUCACUUUAGGCCCGGGUGCCAUGAUUUCAGAUCUGAACCGUUUAUGUUAGCACCAUUAUAUCUAUGUUCUAGAUUUGACGUUGCAAGUUAUAGUCACCUACUACGUGUUAUGAUCCGGCAACCCCGGAGUGACAACAGUCGGGACACUUCCUGGUGAUGACCGUAGUUUGAGGAGUUCAUGUAUUCACCGUGUGCUAAUGCUUUGUUCUGGUUCUCUAUUAAAAGGAGGCCUUAAUAUCCCUUAGUUUCCAAUAGGACCCCACUGCCAUGGGAGGGUAGGACAAAAGAUGUCAUGCAAGUUCUUUCCAUAAGCAUGUAAGACUAUUUACGGAAUACAUGCCUACAUUAUAUUUAUGAACUAGAGCUAGUCCCACAUCGCCCUAGGUUAUGACUGUUAUAUGAUGAAUAUCAUCCAACAAAUUGCCAAUCCAAUGCCUAUGAUUUUCCUACAUAUUGAUCUUUCUAAGUUACUACUGCUGUUGUUACUAUCGUCACUGCUACAAAACUAUUACUAUUACUGUUACCAUUACUGUUGCUGCUACCACUACUAUCAAAGCUAUCAUAUUACUGUGCUACUGAUCACUUUGCUGCAGAUAAUUAAUCUCCAGGUGUGGUUGAAUUGACAACUCAACUGCUAAUACUUGCAAAUAUUCUUUGGCUCCCCUUGUGUCGAAUCUAUAAAUUUGGGUUAAAUACUCCACCCUCGAAAAUGGUUGCGAUCCCCUAUACUUGUGGGUUAUCACCCCCAGAGAGCCACCUGAAACAAUUUUUCUGCCGCCGCAAGCUUCUGUUCUUCCGUGAUCCCAUCUGGAGGCCUUUUCCGGUACUCUGCCGAAGGGGGUAUCAAUCAUAGAGGGCUUCGACAUCAACCUUGUUGCCCUUGCGAUGAUGUGUAAGUAGUUCACGAUAGACCGACAAGUCCAUAGCUAGUAGCUAGAUGGCUUCUUCUCUCUCUUUGAUCUUCAAUACAAUGUUCUCCAUGAUCUCGAUAGAGUUCUAUCCAAUGUAAUGUUCUUUUGUGGUGUGUUUGUUGGGAUUUGAUGAAUUGUGGGUUUAUGAUCAGAUUAUUCAUUGAAAGUAAUUGUGUCUUUUCUGAACUUUAUUAUGCAUGAUUGUUAUAGCUUUGUAUUUCUAUCCGAUCUAUCUAUUUGGUUUGGCCAACUAGAUUGAUUUAUCGUUAGUGGGAGAGGUGCUUUGUAAUGGGUUCAAUCUUGCGGUGUCCUCACCCAGUGACAAUAGGGGUAGCGAGGUAAUUAUUUUUAUUGUUGCCAUUAAUGGUAUAACGACGGGGUUUAAUCAUAUUGCUUGGUUUUAUUCUAUCUACAUCAUGUCAUCUUGCUUAAAAUGUUACUUUGUUUGUCAUGAACUUAAUACCAUAGAUGCAAGAAGGAGUUAAUUGGUGGAGUAAUAGUAGUAGAUGCAGGCAGGAGUCGGUCUACUUAUCACAGACAUGAUGCCUAUAUACAUGAUCAUUGCCAUGAAUAAAGUCAUAACUAUGCGCUUUCUAUCAAUUUCCCAACAGUAAUUUGUCUACCCACUGUAUGCUAUUGUUUCGAGAGAGAAGCCUCUAGUGAAAACUAUGGCCCCAGGGUCAACUUUAAUCAUAUUACUAAAACCAAAAAUACCUUGCUGCAAUUUAUUACUUUUAUUUUUAUCUAUCUACCACUACUAGAUUUAAUCCUUACAAGUAACGAGUUCAAGGGGAUUGACGACCCUCUUGCCCAUGUUGAGUGCAAGUAUUUGCUCUUGUGUGUGGAGGUGUUGUUCACUAGGAUUUGUGUGGUUCUCCUAUUAGUUCGGUAACCUUGGUUCUCACUGAGGGAAAUACUUAUCAACUACUAUAUUGCUUCACCCUUCCUCUUUUGGGGAAAUCCCAACACAACUCACAAGUAGCAAAUGUUUUUUGAAAGCUAGCCAGCAUUAAUCUUCAUGUGUCCAAACCAUUGAGAUGAUGGAUACUCAUUGAUUCUGCCAGGAGAAGGACUACAUAUCCUUAUGACAUACUCCCUUGGUCAUUUUUAGUCUGCAUAUAAGUUUUGUCUGAAGUCCAAGCAUCUCUACUUUGACCAAACUUAUAUAAAAAGCACCAACAUUCACAAUGCCAAAUUAAUAUUGUUAGAUUCAUUAUGAAAUGUAGUUUCAUAGUAUAUGUAGUUGGUAUUUUUUUAGUAUACAUUUGGUCAACCUUUGCAAAGUUUGACUUGGGACAAAUCUAAUACAUGGAGUAAAAAGGACGGAGGGAGUACAAUAUGAAAAUAUACACCACUUAUGCUUUUCUUGUGGUCGCCUCUCGGACUUGGUUUGCCCGACGCCCGGAACGAGGGAUGAAAAUGGAGGUCUACCAUUUGGAGAGGGUCUGAGGCCACUGAUGGUGCCAUGCAUCGUGGGUGGCCUCUUUUAAGGGAGUCCGACGACUAACCUGACAAAGGGCCUACAAGGCUCACCAAGAAGGCGAAGACAAGAGGGGGCCCCAGGCGACCCAUAGGUGUCUCUGAGACCAUCUUUGGCCCCAAGUCUAAGCUAGUGGCGGGCUAGAUCGUAUCUUCCUCUUUGUAAAACCCCAUAUCCCACUUUGUAUAUAAGGGGGAGGCUAGGGGGCUCUCUAAUCCAUCUAUUCUCAUAGAUUAAACUCUCGGUGGCAACCUCUCACUACAAAAAAAAAA